CUCGUGAAAGUUCAGCAUGUGAAAUUCUUCUCGGUGUUUUCAAAGACAACAAAUCAUCUUUAAUUGGUAGAGUUGUACUCCUUCUUUGGCAUCUUCUAUACAUAAUAGUUAACACUAUUAGUAGUACGACAACACCAAUUGUUGGUAAACCAUACCUUAAAGCAUGCAAUAUAAUCAUUUCAGAGUUUCCGUGGAUGUCGUUUUUGCAAGGUGGGACUAGCAAUCUAGGUGGACCACAAAGUGCAUAAUUCUUCAUGAAUGAUGUGCUAGAAAAGUUUGAAAAACUUCCUUCAGUAGGAAUUUCCCCUUCAAAUCUAUUGAAAGACACAUUAAAAUACUUUAGAUGUAAAAGCUUUUCCAACGAUUUGGAAAUGACUCCAGAGAGGUUGUUCUUACAUAAAUCCAGGGAUUCCAAAUUAAUCAAACCACCAAAUGAUUCAGGGAUAUGACCAUGUAGUUUAUUAUUUGAUAAAUCUAAUGUAACCAAAGUUUGAAGACUCCCAAAUGUGGAUAAAAUAUCGCCCAUGAGAAGAUUCCUUGAUAAAUUUAGUUUCCCUAGACUCCUCAAAUUUCCAACAUCAAUAGCAUGAGAAUUGUGAAGAUGGUUUGAUGAUAAAUCUAUUUCUAAGAUAUCUUUAAGAUUCCACAAAGUUGAGGGUAUUGCCGAACUCAAUUUGUUGGAAUUUAAGUAAAGAUAUCCCAAAGAAGUAAUAUUACCCAGACAAGAGGUUAUAGAUCCGUACAGCUUAUUCAACCCUAAAAACAAUUUGUAUAGACUCUCCAAAUCACAAAGGCUCUCUGAGAUAGGCCCUUCUAAUUUAUUAGAGGAAAGAUCUAGACCUUGGAGUUUUCGCAGUCCUCUUAUUGAUGUUGGAAUAAAUCCACUUAACUUAUUAUAGUCAAGUUCUAAACGCAACAUGUUGCUUAAGUUACCUAUUUCCAAUGGAAUAUUGCCCAUAAUCUCACAAUCAGAGGCCACAAAGUCUCGAAGGGAGUUUGAAAGGUUCCCGAUAUAAGUAGGAAGAACACCACUCAAUGGAUUUCCUGACACAAUUAUUCUUUUCAGAUGCUUGCAAUUCGCCAAAGAAUAAAGAAAGGUCCAGUCAUGAUCAAUAGCAGAUCCUGCAAUCAAAUUAUUGUUUUGGAUAUGAAGGCAUUCAAGGUAUCUUAAGUUGCCAAGCAUUUUAGGGAUUGGGCCAGAAAAUAAGUUAUUUCCCAAGUCUAGUUGCUUAAGCAUGGAAACAUUGGAGAUAGAGUUGGGAAUGUUUCCGCUAAGUUUAUUUCCCCACAAUAAAAGAUUCUCAAGCUUUGGAGCAUUGGUAAUGGGUGGUAAAUUACCUGUAAAAUAGCAUCAUACAUUAAAAAUGAACUCCUAAGUAUUGUUAGCCCAAGCCUUGUGUUGAAAUCAUCUUUACUUUCUAGAUUUAAAAUUGAUUGAAUAUCAAAUUUAAAAAUAUAUAAUACAUUAAUAAUUUUUUUAAAAUAUUGUAAAUCUUUAAAUCAAAGAAAAAUAAAAGUUUAAGAUGAAAAUGUGGCAUCUAAUCAAUAUUCCUUUAUUUUCCUUAUAUAAAACUUUUCUCUAUUUUUUAAUUAAUAUGUAUUGAAAAUAAAAAAAAAGAAUUUUAUAUUGCGCAGCUCAUUAAAAAAUUAAAAAAAUCAGAUUUUUUUUAUAAAAAUGUAAGAAAUGUUUUAAAAAAUUUAAAAAUAAGAAAAAAUACAUAAACCGUAAAAUAAAUAUAAAGAAUACUAAAAAAAUGUAAAAAAAAAUUCUCAGCUCUAUAAUAGUGCAGUUUUUAGAAAAUAAAAUGCAAAAAGAAAACCCGAAAAAAUAGGGAAAAUCAGAAAAACUUAAAAAGAAUCAACAAACUGCGAAGAAGGUGAGUUGUGGACUGAAAAGAUCAAUUUGAAAAAGGUUUCGGGCUUUCGGCUUAAUUAAAUAAAGUAAAUUAAAAUGCCAAAAAGCAGAGAAAGAAAAAUACUAUUCAUUGUUAAAGUCCAAGUUGGUAUAAUUAAUAUCUAAGUUUCGUGUUGGAUUAAUUAUUUAUUUUUUAAUUAAAUUAUAUUGUAAAUUUUAAAAGCUAGAAUUUACUUAAAAUUUUUGAACUCUUCAUGUGUUAGAAAUUUAAUUUCUGUACUUCUAUCUUUUAGAAUUUAGUCCCUUUAUUCUUUGAAUUUAAUUAAAAUUUUAAGUUCAUUUGUUAAUAAUGUUAAAUAGUUUUUGUAUUGGUAUGACAUUUUGAAAAGCUAAAAUGAAAAUGGAAAAAAUAAUAUAAAAUAUUUACAAAAUUAUUAAAAUUUUUAAAAAUAGAAAAAAUCUAAAAUUAUAAAAAUUAAAAGAAUAUACUAAAAAAUUAAAAAUAUAUUAGAUAUUUUAACAUUUUUGAAAUUUUUUAAAUGGCAAGAGUUUGAACAUGUGAUCAUUGUGUCUUGGAAGGAUACCACCUAUAACAAUUGUUUUUUUAAUUCAAUUAAUCAAAAUUUAUAAUUGGUACAUCUUAUUAGGUGAUAAAUUUGGAUUAGUCUUUUAUUUUCAAUUUAUUUAAAUAAUAAAAAUAAUAUUAUGUAAAAUAAAUAAUAUUUUAAAUUAUUCCAAAUAUUUUUUACUAGUUGAAGAUAGAUUGUUUGUCUCUAAACCAAUAUCUUAAGAACUAUUGUUGAAUGUUUGACUAUUCUAAAGAAUUUUGGUACAAAACAGAAAAAGCAUGUGCACGAAGGUGGAUGAAGAAAGCUUGCUCUAGAUAUUAAAUAGGGAGUCAAAUCAAAUAAACACGUUACUAGUAACACUAGUAAAACGCUAAAACUUGAUGUAGUUUAAAAUAUUAAAAUGUUGAUAUAAGAAUUUAUUAAAUAUUUUUUUAUAAAAAUUGGUUGUAUUAUAAAAAAACAGUUAUAAUAUCAAAUUUUUAAUAUUUUAAAUGUGAUUAACGAAUGUAUACUUUAUUUCAAGAUACACAAUUUUUACUAGUUUUUAAAAUUUUUUAUUUUUUAUAAUUUUUAACAAUUUCUAAUAAUUUUUAUAGUUUUUAAUAAUUUUAUUUUUUUACAAUUUUUUAAAAAAAUUAAAAAAUUUGUAAUUUUUAAAAAUUUAUAGAUUUAUAAUUUAGUUACUUUUUUAUAAUUUUAUUUGAAUAUAUAUAUAUAUAUAUAUAUAUUUAAAAUUUUUGGUUUCUUUUUUCUAAAUGAUGAUGCCAUCGUGACGUCGGGACGUGUAUCACAUGGCAAUUUAUGAUUGGUUGGAUAUCCCAACCAAAUUUUUUAAGGACCAAAGGAUUGUGUCGGAAACACCUGGUUAUGUUGGGGACUAUAUUAGAAAUGUUUGAUAAUGUUAGGGACUAAAAUGAGUCAAAAGACUUUAAGGACCAAAGUGAGAAAAGCAGCAUACUUUAGAGACUAAAGUGUGCAUUAAGCCUUUAAAAAUAUAUCUAUAAUAUAUAUAAAUUUAUGAGUUUUGAGAAGCUUUUGAUAUGAUAAUUAUAUAGUCUUUGUUGUUUAUUAUAUUACUGAUAUUUUAAACAUUUUUUAUUAUUUAUCAAAUUUAUAAAUAAGAAUUUUGGUUUUACUAAAAUAUUUGAUUAAAUAUAUUUAUGAAAAAUUUAGCAUCCUUAUAAAUAAAAAUUUCCAUUCUAUUAAAAAAAUUAUUAAAAAAUUUAUAUAAUAAAAAUUUAAAAUUCAUAUUGAAUUACUUUAUAUGUAAAUUAUUACUAGAAAUUCUAUCAUAAGUAUAUGCGUGUAAGAACAACGUGUUUCGAAAACAUAUUUGUGUUUUAAAAUAAUAUACAAUAAGUAAUCAAAUCACUGAUUAAUACUAAUAAUAAAUGACAUAUGUAAGAUAUUAAAAUAAAAAAUUGAUUAAAUUGCAAGUAAAACGAAAUUUAAACAUAUGAAUACGUCAUAUUAAUAAUACUAAUUGAAUACAAUUAUUUAUUAUGGUGUUGUUGUCAAUACUAAGUUGGGGUCUAGUUAAAUUGUGACAACUUUUAAUCAACAACAUUAAUGUAUAUAAUUCAUGGAGGUAAUAAAGUGUGCAUAAUAAUAAUAAAAUGUAUAAAAAAUUUAAAAUAAAAUUUUGGUUUUACGUAUUGAUGUGGGUUUAAAUCUCACCAUAAACAUUUUUAUUUUGUUUUUUUAAAUAAAAACUGAAGUACCCUCAAACAAUAUAACUUAUUUUAAAUAAGAAAUGAUAUUUUUGCAAUUUUUCUAACCGAGUUGAUACUCUAUUGACUUAUGACACCAACUCAACCAAAAGCUUAAAUAAUAUUAUAGUUGUUCAUUACUUUAAUUUUAAAGAGCAAAUUUUAAUUAUUUAUAUAACAAAUAACUUUAUAAUUCAUAUAUAAAUUUUAUAAGUAAUAUAUUUAUAUAUUUAUAUAUUUUAAUCAAAUUUAUUAUAUUUUUAUUAAGUAUAUAUCAUCUACAAAUUUUUAAGAUCAAUUUAUUGCCUAUCAAGAAAAGAAAAAAUUGAAAUUACAAAUAUAUCGAUUUUUAUAUUUUGUACGGAUGCUUUCAUGAUGAUAAAAAAAAUUUAUUAGCACUGUUUUUGAAUUAACAAAAAUAAAUUAUAUUUUUUAACUAUAUUUUGAACUAUAUUACUAUUUUUUAAUUACAUAAACUAAAAUUAUAUUAGAUAUUAAAUAUGGUGCAUAUGCUUUAAUUAUGACUUGAAAUUUUAUUAUUAUAUUUGAAAUAUUAAAUAAAUUAAUAUUUUAAUUAGAUUCAACCAUUUGAAUAAUAAAUUAAAAAUAAUAAUCAUAAUAAUUUAAACUUAAUUAAAAAUUAAAUGGUUAAAAUCAAGUGUCAAUCUAUAUAAAUGGGAAUUAAAAAUUUUAAGAUAAAUCAAUUCAUAUAAAACUUAUUGUUUAUUAUGAAAUUAAAAUGAUAAAGUAAUGACGAAAAAAGAAGAAACAAAUUAAACAGAAUGCAUUUUGGACUUUGGAAAAAAACAAAGUGAAACACAUACCUUCUAAACUGUUGUCAUUUAGAUAUAUUCCUUGGAGCAUAGUUGAAUUAAAAAUACUUUUUGGAAUCAGCCCACUGAAUUGAUUUGCUGCUAAAUCCAAAAUCUGAAGCUUGUAACAUUCACCCAUACGUGAUGGAAUAUUACCAGAUAAUUCAUUAUGUUCCAAGACAAGCCAUUCAAGCAUGGGACAAUGGUGACACAAACCAUUAGGUAAACUACUUGAUAGACUAUUGUUGGAGAGAAAAAUAGUCUUUAGAGAAGAAAUGUUGAAGAUUGGAGUCGGAAUCUGACCUGCAGACAUAAUCGAAAAAUCAAGGUGUUAAAACUGCCUAUUUUGUUAGCAUAAAUUACAGAGGUUUUCUUUUUCUGUUCUACAGUAAUUUGGAGAUGUUAGAUUUUAAUAUAAUUAAGCAUAUUUUUUUUAUCAAAUUAACUAUUUUGCUUUGAAUGAAAUAAAAAAAUCUCACUUCUGUAAUCCAUUACAAAUCAAACUCUUUUAUAAAAAAAAAUACUUUAAACUAAAGAAACCAAAGAAAUUCAGUACCUUCUAGGUUAUUCAUCUCCAAAUGUAAUUCUUCGAGUCGUGUCAGAUUUCCAAUACCUCUUGGAAUGAUCCCCGUAAAUUUAUUAUAGGACAAUGCCAAAAUUUGAAGGUUGUUGCAUUUGCCAAUACGUGAUGGAACGUUUCCAGAUAAUUCAUUCCGACUCAAGUAAAGCACUUCAAGCUUGGGUAAACGUUGACACAUAUCAUUAGGCAAACUACCUGAUAGGCUAUUGCUGAAGAGAGUAAUAAUCUUCAGGGAAGAAAUCCUGAAGAUUGAAUAUGGAACCUGGCCAGAUAAUUGAUUGAAUUGCAAGUUCAAGACCUCUAGAUUGGACAUGUUAACAAGUGUUUGAGGGAUUGUGCCUGUAAAGUUAUUGUUUUCCAUUUCCAGCCUUUGAACUCUUUGUAAGUUCCCAAGCCAUGCUGGGAUUUCCCCAUUAAGACUGUUGUAGCUUAACUGAAUGAUCCUCAAACGAUGCAAUUGGCCCAAUUCUUUAGGCAGAUAGCCAGAUAAAUUGUUGCUACUCAAGUCGAGAGAAAGUAGAAAUGAAAGAUUUCCAAGGUGUGGAGGGAUAGUACCCCUAAGAUUCAUGCUUGUAAGAUUCAAAGCUAUAACUCUUUUAUGGAUGAUGCCACAGGAAACACCAAUCCAAUUGCAAACAGAGGUAGAGGCCGUCCAAUUGUUUGCCAAGACAUUUUGAGGAUCGGCAAUGCGAUCCUUAAACUCGAGAAGCACAAACUGAUCGGAGUUGAGAUUCCUGGUUGUCAUAGCCAAGCAAACUACGGAACAUGGUAUGAAUAAACCUAAAAGAAGAUGGAAGCAAGUGUUGUAAUUCAUUAUUGCAAGACGAAAUGAGCCAAGAAAAUAAAAAAGUAGGGAAAGGGAACUUGAAUUGAUAAAGGGAAAAGUUGGAUGAUGAAGAAAAGCACUAAGGGCAUGCUUUAAUAUGCUUUAAUAUGAUGGAGACAACUACAAGCACUAAUAACAUAUUUUCACCUAAUAAAUUAUAAAAAAAUUAAAACAAAAUAAGGUUAAAAUUUUAACAUAUCUGUUAGAUAAAAUUUAAGAUUUAAUUAUUAAACUUGACAACUUAAAAAUUAAAUCUUAUUGUUUGAAUUUAAAAAUUUUAGUCCUACCAUAAAUAUUGUGAGCGUUUUUUUUUUAAUCAAAUUUUGUCAAGUUGACUUAUUAAUUAGGUUUCCCUCAUAUGAUGUGGUAUAUGAUUGAUAAAAAUAAACAUGUUAAGUUGAUAUAUUUUGACAAAAAACUACCAACGAUGAUAAUGAUUGGAUUAAAAUUUUUAAAUUAAAAAUUGUAGGGAUUAAAUUUAUAACUUUUAAAGUAUAAAGACUGAAUCUCAAAUUUUAUAGAAAUAUAGGGGCUAACAACAUUUUUUAGCCACCAAAUAAUAUCUACAAUUUUCACUUAAAACUACAUUGGACUUAAUUGGCUAAGGGUUAACAUAUCAAUUGAUUUAUGAGUUUCACACUUUUUUUUAUAAUGUUGUACUCUUGGUUUUUGUGCAAUGUGAUACACGUAUUUGGUAAAAAGUUAUAUAUUUUAAUACUUAAAAGAAAUUUUAGAGUUGAUUUAAUGGACAUUAAUUGUUAAUAUUAUUUUGAUAUUUAUAUGUAUUUUCAUUUUUAUAAAUACUAUUAAAAAUAUAUAUUUUUUAAAAUGAAUGCUAUUUAAAAACAUUAUUAAAAAAUAAUAUAUUAUAUGAAAGUUAAAAUGAUCUAAAAACAUAUUUUAAAAAUUUAAAUACUUUAUACAAUAUUUAAAACUGUUUAAAAAUUUCUAAACCCUAAAAAUCAAUAAAAUAUAAUUUUUCUAAAAAUUUAAAAAGAUAUAUAUUUAAAAUUUUAUAUGAAAUUUAAAUGAUUUUAACAGUAAUAUAUUUUAAAAAUGGUAGUAAUGUUAUAAACUUGAAAGAUUUUGUAAUUUAAUUACAUACAUUUUUAUAAAAAAAAUUUCUAACAUAUCAUUAUUUGCAUCUUGUUACAUUAAAGAAUUGAAGAUAUAUUUGAGUAGUUAGCCUUUUUUAGAGAACUAUACUUAGACAAUGCAGAUUAUUGAACUGUAUUAUAUCACUUGUUCAAGUAUUUAUUUAUAAAAUAAAAUAAUUAUAGCCUCUUAUAUUAACUGCAUGUAUCUAUUUUGCAUCUUUUAUUAUAAUAUGAUUUAAUAAUUAUAAUAUUUUUAUAGAAUAAUAUGCUUUAAAAUUUUUUUUACUCUUUAUAAAAUUUAUAAUAAACUUACAAAAUUAUUUAAUGAUAUUUAAUUAUCAACGGAAAAAUUAUAUCAUAUAUGUAAUAGGUCAAUUUAGCUCGGGCUCACAAAAAAAAUAAACCCAAAAUAAUAAAAUAAAGUCCAAGUCCAGUCCAAAAUUAUAUCAUUUGGCCCAAUCAGGAUGGCCCAUUACUUGAAAAGGUUGAAGGUCUAUCUACAAACUUGAUGCAUAUGGAAACAUAAUCUUCAAGGAUAUGCAAUCUUAGAUAUGAUAUGCAAUCUUAGAAGAUAUGAUUUUGUAAUCUUAGAGAAUUAAUUUGUAGAUACCCUUUAAUCUUAGCCGUUGAUGUAAUUGAUCUAUACCGUUGAAUUUGGGGAGGCUCAACUAUAUAUGAGGCCUUUCCCUUCAUUGUAAAACACUUCAUUGUAAAACACUUGAGUUUGGAGCAAUAAUAAUUCUUAAGAUCAUUCACUCAAAUUUCUACCUCUCUUGCGUCCUUAUUUUCUGUGGCUUGUUCUUAUUUUGUUCUUUGUUCAUCUUCUUUUCUUUUUAAGUUGCUUUCAUUUGAGUUGGAUUUUGGUGGAGGAAUUUCGUUGAGUCUUCAUGUUGUGAGAGUUAGCCUGACUUAAGCGUUUUUUAACCUUUUUUUAUUUAUCCAUUUAAUUUUUUAAUCAUUAAUUAUUCUUUUACUUUUAUUCAUUUAUUUAUCCAUCAACUUUCUUAUUUACAUAUUGUUCAUUCAUUUAACCAUUCUUAUCAUUCUUUUAUUUUCUUCCAUUAAUUAUAUAUUUUAUUUGUUUUUCAAAUUGCCCUUUUUUUAUCAAAGUUUUUAUGCAUCGUUUUAAUAUUGCGUCAAUUUUCCCCAAUUUUAAAAAAGAAAACUUUUAAAAAUAAGGCAAUAUUCGGUCUUUGGAGCUUUGAGAAAAUCGUGCCCUAACUUACUGGGUUUCAAUUUUUUUUCCACAUAACCGAAUAUCCUUUUUAAACUUUAAUGCAUGAGACAAGCUUAGUUUUGAGGGUUAAAAUGUCGUAUCCUAACUUACUGGAUGUGACAUCUUAUUACUUCGAGACAAAGAGGUCUUAACAUCAAUUCGAUUUAUUCAGGUUUUUAAAGAGGAUUGUAUUUUAAAAUCUUUUCAAAUUUUCGAUAUUAGGAAGUUAAUUAAUCAAUUAGGUACCAAUUUUUGGGCGUUACGAGGGUGCUAAUCCUUCGUCGUGCGUAACUGACUCCUGAGCUCGUUUUCUCGAAUUUUGUAGACCAAAAUUAUUAUUUUAAUAAAUCAAAAUGUUUUAUUAAAAUGAUUAAUCUCAAGGUGACCCGAUCACACCUCGAAAAAAGAUUGGUGGCGACUACAUUUUCGUUUUAAAAGUCGACCCCGUUUUUUAAAAUAAAAAAAUGGUUUCGACAGCUUGGUGACUCCUCUGAGGAUUGGUUUUGAGAGAGUAUCCACAAAUUGAUUAAUUUUUGUCUUUUUGUCGAAAAAUUAAAUUUUGUUUUAAAUUCACGAUUUAUCCUUUUGCAUUUUAUCUAUUAUUUUCAUGGUUUUAACCAUAGUGUCGUCCAAAUCUGUCAAUGUGUAUCUACAUUUUGCAUUGCAUUGGUUGGUCAAUUUUACCCCUCUAAGUGUGAGUGAGAAACUAGUUCUUCGUGAGGUUUUCACCUCCGUGCAGGAUAGUGGAUCACUUUCAGAAUACAUUUGUACCUAUGUCUUCGUGAGAUUUUCAUCUCCGUGCGGCCAUAGGGAAAUGUAUCCCCCUGAACUGAACUCGGUCUAUAUGAACCUAUAAUGGGUGAGGAUCAAGGAAUCUACUGGUUUGGAUACCUUUACCUUAGAAGCCAAACCUCAUAUAAUGAACUCUAGGAACUCACCUUAGGUAGAAUUACGUUGACCCUUAGUAGCUACCCGAGUAGGUGCUUGAUCAUUUCCUGUUUGUUUUUUAAUACCUGAUACUAACUUGUUGUGUUUCAUUUUGAUUGCAUGACAUUUUGACUGCACAACAUUUUGACUGCAUGACAUGCUCAUCAUAUGCAUAAAAAAGGUGUCGAUUCACAUUCAAUUACUAAAUAGAGAGCUUGCCAUGGAAAAUGAAUUUCUUGAUAAAAUGGAGGAUAAUACGACUCUCCUAAUAUGUUCUGAGAAAGCACAACGUGAGAAAGAUGAUAGACUGACAAAAGAGCAUACGACUUUGCUUUGUUGCGUGAGGAUACAAGUUGGUAAAAGUCAUCAAUAUCCCGACCCUUUUCUUAAAAGAAGCUAACAAGUAUCACGAUGAUGAGUGAGUAAUGAGUCGUGGCCCAGUUCGAGCAAAAAGAGCCAGUGAAGCAUCCGUUGGAAAAUUCGAAAGAUUUAUUUUAACAUUCGGAUGAAGAAAAAGGAUCGAUGUCCUCGCUUGGAGCAUGAGGGCAAAGCCGUAUAUAUAUCUGUUUUAUGUAAAGAAUUUUGUUUUCUAGUAAAGUUUUCUAAAUGGAAUUGAAUCAGAAUUGACACCUUUUUGCAUUCAUUUCAUGCAUUUGCAUUACAUGCAUUAAAGUCCACUAAAAGAGCCUAACUGAUCAAAAUUAUCUCAGUUAACCUGAAAACCAACCAACCAACCAAACACUGUUACGGUACUCGAGCAAGAACUAAAGACAUGGACCAGAGAUUGGAAAAACUUUAACAGUUCCAAAAGGAAAUGCAAGACUGACUUCAGCUACAAGUGCAAGAGCGGUUAGAUAAAAUUCAGCAAGAUAUGAUGGAAAAGAUGCUGGAGUCCCAAAGAAACGUGAUGACUUAAUUGACUCAAUUGUUGGCUGGGGAAACGAUAAGGGAAAGGGUCCUAUGGCUAAUACUGAAGAAGGAGAUGAUGAUGAACCUCUCUAUCCUCCAAGCUUCACUCCUCCACAUGUGCAGACCCAAGCUGAGAUGUACCCACACAAAUCCUCUGUCACAAUCAGGCCUCAGCAGUUUCAGGCUGGUGCAUCAAUGCUAAUGAACUUCCAAGUCAGAUCAGGCUCUAACCCUAGAGAGAACGCUAAUAAUCCUUCUAUCCCUGAUUUCGAUGAAGUGGCUGAAAAAUAAAAAAUAAAAGAGGAAUUACCAAAAUAGUUAGAGGAAAUGUGUAAAUGGCUUGAGGAAAAAUUUAGGGCAAUGGAAAGCACUGAGAACUACCAUGGGAUUAAUGCUAAAGACCUGAGCUUAGUCCUGGAUUUGGUACUCCCCUACAAGUUCAAAAUGCCAGAAUUUGAAAAAUACAAUGGGACCAAUUGCCCUGAAGUUCAUAUUACCAUGUUUUGUAGGCGGAUGGAUGGAUAUGUUAACAACGACCAACUGCUAAUACAUUGCUUCGAAGAUAGCCUCGCAGGGGCAGCAUCUAAGUGGUACAAUCAAUUGAGCCGUACCAGGAUUAGUUCAUGAAGGGAUUUAGCACAAGCAUUCAUAAAGCAGUACAGUCAUGUAACAGAUAUGGGUCCUAAUAGAAUCACCCUACAAAACAUGGGAAAGGAGCCAAACAAAAGUUUUAGGCAAUAUGCACAAAGGUGGAGGGAGGUUGCCGUCCAAGUUCAGCCACUACUCCUGGAAAAAGAAACUACGAUGCUCUUUAUUAACACACUAAAAGUCUUGUUCAUCACGCACAUGUUAGGAAGUGCCACAAAAAGUUUCUCAAAUAUAAUCAUGAAUGGCGAAAUGAUUGAAAAUGCCAUUAGAGGUGGAAGAAUAAACGAAGGAGAGAGUAACAAGAAGUCAGCCUCAGGGAGAAAAGAAAAUGAGGUGAAUAACACAGGUUACUCAAGAUCAGUUACUGUAAGCCAGCCAAGAAAGAUGGUUGCUAGUCAGCAAGCUCCAUCAAGGCAAGAUCUCGACACAAAGACUGAGAAGUUCCAGUUUACACCAUCUCAAUAUCGUAUAGGGAACUGUAUCAGAGUUUGUUUGAUGCACACGUUGUUUCUCCUUUUCACGUGAAACCUCUACAACCCCCAUACCCCAAAUGGUAUGAUGCAAGCGCCCAGUGUGAAUACCAUGCAGGAAUUACAGGGCACUCGAUAGAAAAUUGCACUGGCUUCAAAAAGCUAGUUGAAAGAUUCAUCAAUAUGGGCAUCGUCAAGUUCGAUGACUCAUCUAAUGCAAAAAAUUUGCUACCCAAUCAUAUGGAUAAUGGGGUGAAUGUGAUGUAUGAAGAAGUGUUGGGAAACAUUCACAUCAAUGCCAUAUAUGAAGACACAUUUGAAAAGGGGCCUUGUUAGAUAUCCACCCUUAUAAACUUGGGAGUGUUCUAAACAAUUGGACUGCAGAAGAAAUCCCUGUAGUAUUUAGAGCUUACUUAGAGUAAUAUUCAAAACACACUUGUUGCUUUAAAGCCUAGAGGCAAUAAGAACCCUGUUAUGAAAUAGGCUUGUGUUUAAAAUCUUUAUUUCAAUAAAAUGCAUCUUUUUGAGCAAACAUUCAUUCAUUCUUUUCAUUUAUAUAUUCUUUUUUUCCUUGGACUCUUUUAAAUAUUAUUUUAUUCUUCAUUCAUACAAAUAAUUGUCCUUAGACUUAUUUAUUCUAUAGAAUCAACCUUUGUACCUACAAUAAGUCUUCAAAUAUCAACAACAUGAGUGAUAUUGCUAUUGACUUAAAAUCUCCUUUCGAGUAAGAUAUGUGUCAGGGGAAUCUUAGGACUUUGAAUAUGACUGAGAUUGUAACCUAUCUCAUGAUUUGUUAAGAAUGGUAGAAAAAGAUGAAAAAUAGAUCCUACCUUACAAAAGUCAGUGGAUAGUGAGCGUAGGAGAAGAGAAAGAGAUUAGAGUUUGUCCAUCGAAAUAAAGCGAAACAUCACUAAAUUACUCCAAGAAUUCAAAAAUCUUUUCGCACGAUCAUACCAAGAUAUGUCUAGCUUACUAAGAAGUAUGGAUGCUGUUAAGGCUAAAAGGUCUAUAAAUGUGUCAGAAGAACACCUACUAAUGGUUUUACGAUAGCCACGUUAAUCACGAGGUUUCAGUACUGCUGGUCCACCAUAGAAGGGGAUCACAUCAGUUAUACCAUAAAUACCAAUUUGAGGAAGAUAAAACCUAUGUGCCUCUUCCAUUUCUUCACAAAUUUUCCAUAUGUAGGGCAUGGAUGUGAUUGGGCUAAUCUCGUCAAAAGUUUUUAGUCAAGAUCGAUUCAUCUUUGUGGUCUUCGAUUAUUUCGCUAAGAGGGUCGAAAUAGCUUUAUAUCCCAAUGUUACAAGGUCAAAGUCAUUAAAUUCUAAUUUCAAAAAAAAAGAAAAAGAUCCGACGCCGAUAAAGAAUGCCAAAAAGGACAAUGUCAAAAGUUUGUAGUCUAUUCAAAGAUUAGAUGCCAUAGGCAACCAAAAAAUAAAAAUAAAACAAGGAUUGUGGGAAAGAUGACCGAGACUUGUAAAGAUUGGUAUAAAGAAGUUACCAUCUACGCUCACCAAAUUCGACCAGGACCUUUCCUUGGGCAACACCUGGCCCAUUGGUUUGUGUAAUGUUGAACCCAAUCAAAGAAAAAAGGGUUAAAAGCUAUCCAUUACAGUCAGAUGAUGCGAGCUUACAACAAAGAGGUUCAUCUUAGAGAAUUCCAUGAGGGGGACCUAAUGUUAAAAAAGAUCCUUCUUAUAGAAAAGGAUUUUAAAGGAAAGUGGGUUCCAAAUUGGGAAGGGCCUUGUGUUGUAAAGAAGGCCUAUUUUGGAGGAGUAUUUUUAUUGACCGAGAUGGAUGCCAAAGACUUGCCCAAUUUAGUGAAUUCAAAUUCAGUCAGGAAGUAUUUUACCUGAAAGGGGAGAAGCCAAGGUGAAAACCUACAAAGGGCGCCUUGAGAAAAAAAUAAAAAAUCAAAAAAAAAGAGAAGAAAGAAAAAGAGGAGAGGCCAAGGCGAAAACCCGCAAAGGGCGCUUUGAGACCAAAGGGGUUUUGAGUUGAAACCUGAAAAGGGCAGCUUAAAUUUUGAACGAAAAUGGGGCAUGUGGUAGUCUUGCUAUGCCUGAAUUAACAAUAAGGAAGUAUGCUACAUCUUAGGGCAUUGACAAAGUACUCCAGAUCCCCUAAACACAUAUUAAGCUCAAAAUGGUCCUCAAAAAGUUCAUACAGAGAAGUUUAGGCUACAAUAUCUACGGCACCUAGUUUUCCAUCUUACCCAUUUUUGAAUUUGCUAUCUUUGAUUACCUUAUUCUUUUCAAGAUACGCCCCAAUCAAUUUCUUUUUAUUGCCUUGGUUAUCUUUGAUUAAUUUAAUUAUUUUGAGCUAUGCUCCUAAUUAAUUUUCUUCUUGUCCAUUAUUAUAAUAUUUUUUAAGCAUUUUAUAUUGAAAUAAUGAUUAAUGGACUAAUAAUACUUUCAUAAAAAGAGUUUUGCAUAUUACUCUGGAAGCUUCUAAAUAAUACGAGAAUUUGAAAUAGGACUAUUGUUUAGAACUCACUAAGCUUAAGGGUUGGAAAUAUUGAAAGAUGAUUAUCUCUUUGAAUAUUUUUGUUGAACAAAAAGACAAGACAUUUCGUCGGUGAUAUCAUCUCGACAAAUAACGAGCAAUGUCAACUCAAAUGUAAAAGGGGAUCAUUUUCGGGAAAAGAAAAAUGAUACUCUACAUUCAUGAAAAUUUCAAGCAUAUACAUUUGGUCAUUACACCCAGGGAAUGGUGUAACAGAUCAAUUUGACUGAAAAUGAUACAAAUUCUAUACCUCUGGGUGGCAGCAGGAUGGAUGGAAGAAACCAAAUAUUAUUCUUUUGAAGUUGCAGUGGGAGAUAAAAACUUUAUGUCCCAGACGGUACAGUGGAAGAGACUCUGAAAUUACAACAGGGCAAGCUUGUUGAGCAGAAUGUGAUUGUUUCUUCGAGUUUUCUAUUGAAAAAUACCAGUUGAAUAAGAUAGGAGUGUAAUAUGUCAGUGAUAAGACUCCUAAUGAAAAACAAAUGAUGACACCCUAAGCAUUAAAAAAGAGAUCAUUCUCAUUUUGCAUUCAUAGAUCAUUCAUAGCAUAUCUAAUUAAGAGCAUUUGACUUAUUUCAAUCAUGGCAUCCUAAUCAUUCAGCAUUAGCACAGACCCAUUCUAUAGGUUAUGUCCUCUAGAGGAUGAUGUAGUAAGGUAGAUUGAAGCUAUCAGUCUUGCCUCACUGAGUUUGCAGCAAAGCAUAUUGAAAGCAGCAGAUCUUGUCUUACUGUACUGGCAGUGAAGUAGAUCGAAAACAUCAGCCUUGCCUUUCUGAGUUUGCAGUGGAGUAGGUUGAAGAUUGUAGAUCCUGUCUCCCUAAGCAGUAGUGGAGUAGAUCAAAGACGGCGAAUCUUAUCUAUCCAAGGUAGUAGGGAAGCAAAUCUAAGCCACCAGUCCUAUCUCCCUGAGUAAUAGUGGAGUAGGUUGAAGAUUGUAAAUCCUGUCUCCCUAAGCAAUAGUAGAGCAAAUAAAAGAUGGCGAAUCUUAUUUUCCCAAGGUAGUAAGGAAGCAGAUUUAAGCCAUCAAUCCUAUCUCCCUGAGUAGCAGUGGAGUAGGUUAAAGAUAUAGAUCCUGUCUCCCUAAGCAGUAGUAGAGCAGAUUGAAGACGGUAAAUCUUAUCUUCUCGAGAUAGUAGGAAGCAGAUUUAAGCCACUAGUCUUAUCUCCCUAAGCAGUAGUGGAGUAGGUUGAAGAUUGUAUAUUCUAUCUCCCUAAGCAGUAGUAGAGCAGAUCAAAGACGGCAAGUCUUAUCUUUCCGAGGUAGUGAGGAAGCAGAUUUAAGCCACCAGCCUUAUCUCCCUGAAGUUGCAACGGAGCAGAAUGAAGAUAACAAAUCUUAUUUCCCUGAAGUUGCAGUGGAACAGAUUAAAGCUAUAAUCACAGAUUUAAUCUCUUUGAGGUUGCAGUAGAGUAGAUUAUGGCGAAUCUUAUCCUCCUAAAGUUGCAGUGGAGUAGAUUAAAGCCAAUAAUCCUAUCUCCCUAAAGUUAUAGUAGAGCGGAUUGAAACCACUAAUCCUAUCUCCCUGAAGUUGCAGUGGAGUGGAUUAAAGACACAAGUCUUAUCUCCUUGGCAUUAUAGUGGAAUAGAUUAAAGCUAAAGGUAGCAAAUCUUGUUCCCCUGGUGUUGUAGCAAUGCAGAUUAAAGUUGAAGGUAGCGAAUCUUAUCUCCUUGGCGUUAAGACUGAAGGAAGCAAAUCUUAUUUCCCUGGCAUUGCAGUGGAACAGAUUAAAGCUAAAGGUAGCGAAUCUUGUUUCCCUUGCAUUGUAGUGGAAUAGAUUAAAGCUGAAAUGGAGCAGAUUAAAGCUGAAGGUAGCAAAUCCUAUCUUUUUGGAGUUACAGUGGAACAGAUUAAAACUAAAGGUAGUGAAUCUUGUUUCCUUGGCGUUACAGUGGAGUAGAUUCAAGCUGAAGGUAGCCAAUCUUAUCUUUCUAGCGUUAAAGUUGUAGAAAGCAAGUCUUAUCCCCCUAAAGUUGCAGUGAGGCAGACUGAAGAUGACAAAUCUUAUCUCCCUAAAUUUGCAGUGGAGCAGAUUAAAGCCAAUAAUCCUAUCUCCCUAAAGUUGCAGUGGAGUGGAUUAAAAUUAGGUCUUAUCUCCCUGAAGUUGCAGUGGAGCAAACUGAAUAAACCAAUCUUAUCUCCCUGAAGUUGCAGUGGAGCAGAUUGAAGAAACCAAUUCUAUCUCCCUAAAGUUGCAAUGGAGCGGAUUAAAAUGAUGGAUCUUAUCUCUCUAAAGUUGCAGUAGAGCAGAUCACGUCAGGUCUUAUCUCCCUGAAGUUGCAGUGGAGCAUAUUGAAUAAACCAAUCUUAUCUCCCUGAAGUUGUAGUGGAGCAGAUUGAAGUUAUAAAUCCUGUCUCCUUGAAGUUGCAGCAGGACGGAUUAAAAUGAUAGAUCUUAUCUCUCUGAAGUUGCGGUAGAGUAGAUCGUAUCAAACCUUAUUUCCUAGAUAUUACAAUGAAACAAGUUGAAGCUACAAGUUUUAUCUCCCUGAAGUUAUAGUGGAGCAAACUGAAGAUAACAAAUGUUCCCUCAAAGAGCUACAAAUCCUAUCUCCUUGAUGUUAUAAUGGAGUGGAUUGAAGCACUAAUUCCUAUGCCCCUGAAGAUGCAGUGGGAUGGAAUGAGACUACUUGAAGAAGACGAGCACUCAAAGAAGUCAGAACUCGGCAAGACCGAGAAAAAUUGGCCCUUUUGUAGUCUUUGCUCCAUUCUCGUUACACGACAACGAGCAAAGAGGGACACUGUAAUAGGCCAAUUUAGCCCGGGCUCACAAAAAAAACCAAAAUAAUAAAACAAAGUCCAAGUCCAGUCCAAAAUUAUAUCAUUUGGCCCAAUCGAGAUGGCCCAUUACUUGAAAAGGUUGAAGGUCUAUCUACAAGCUUGACGCAUAUGGAAACAUAAUCUUUAAGGAUAUGUAAUCUUAGAUAUGAUAUGCAAUCUUAGAAGAUAUGAUUUUGUUUUAAUUUGUAGAUACCCUUUAAUCUUAGCCGUUGAUGUAAUUGAUUUGUACCGUUGAAUUUGGGGAGGCUCAACUAUAAAUAGAGGCCUCUCCCUUCAUUGUAAAACACUUGAGUUUGGAGCAAUAAUAAUUCUUAAGAGCAUUCACUCAAAUUUCUCCCUCUCUUGCGUUCUUAUUUUUUGAGGCUAGUUCUUAUUUUGUUCUUUGUUCAUCUUCUUUUCUUUUUAAGUUGCUUUCAUUUUUAGUUGGACUUUGGUGGAGGAAUUUCGUUGAGUCUUCAUAUUGUGAGAGUUAGGCUGACUUAAGUGUUUUUUUUAACUUUAUUUAUUUAUUCAUUUAAUUUUUUAAUCAUUAAUUAUUCUUUUACUUUAAUUCAUUUAUUUAUCCAUGAACUUUCUUAUUUACAUAUUGUUCAUUCAUUUAACCAUUCUUAUCAUUCUUUUAUUUUCUUCCAUUAAUUAUAUACUUUAUUUGUUUUUCAUAUUGCCCUUUUUUUUAAUCAAAGUUUUUAUGCAUCGUUUUAAUAUUGCGUCAAUUUUCCCCAAUUUUAAAAAAGAAAACUUUUAAAAAUAAGGCAAUAUUCUGUACUUUGGAGCUUUGAGAAAAUCGUGCCCUAACUUAUUGGCUUUCAAUUUUUUUUCCACAUAACCUGAAUAUCCUUUUUAAACUUUAAUGCAUGAGACAAGCUUAGUUUCGAGGGUUAAAAUGUUGUAUCCUAACUUACUGGAUGUGACAUCUUAUUACUUCGAGACAAGGAGGUCUUAACAUCAAAUUCAAUUUAUUCAGGUUUUUAAAGAGGAUCGUAUUUUAAAAUCUUUUCAAAUUUUUGACAUUAGGACGUUAAUUAAUCAAUUAGGUACCAAUUUUUGGGCGUUACGAGGGUGCUAAUACUUCGUCGUGCGUAACCGACUCCCGAGCCCGUUUUCUCGAAUUUUGUAGACCAAAAUUAUUAUUUUAAGAAAUCAAAAUGUUUUAUUAAAAUGAUUAAUCUCAAAGUGACCCAAUCACACCUCGAAAAAAGAUUGGUGACGACUCCAUUUUCGUUUUAAAAGUCGAUCCCAUUUUUCAAAAUAAAAAAAAUGGUUUCGACAAUAUAUAUUUUGUAUAUAUUAAGAUUUUGAAUCCUUAAUUAUAUAUCUAUAUAUUAUAAUAAUUUUAUAAUAUUAUAAAUAUAUUAUAUCAUAAAUAUUCUUUCAAAUAUUUUUUAAUGUUUAAUAAUAAGUUAAUUUAUAAAAUAUUCUUUCAAUAAAUUAACGUGAUGAGAUCGUUAGGUGCUUGGAUUUGGUGAUGGGGGAUGAAGAGAAAAGGGAUGGAAGUGAAGACAUAUGUUCAGAAAUGGAAACGGUUAGCAAGGGAAGCCGCCAUGAAAGGUGGCUCUAUGGAUAUGAACCUUCAAGCUUUUGUGGAUGAUGUUACUCAAAGGUUGUUGCAAGUAAAUUCAAAAAUGUUUUUUUUAAUUAAUUUUUUGUUAAAAAAUAUUUUUUAUUUUUCAUGUGGCAUGCCACAUUAUUAUACUAUCAUGUGAUUUCUGUCCGUAAGAUUAGUCAAAUCAACGGAUAAAUUGUUCAACUCACAAUUUUUGUUAAAUGAAGAGGUCAAUUAAUUUUUUUGGAAUCAUUGAGAACUCAAUUGGUGCAGUUUUUUCAUAAAGGCUAAAUUAAUUAUUUAAUUUGUUACUGUUGAGGGCUAUAGCAAUAAAAAAAUUUGAGGUAAAAUGAAAAAAAUUGUUAAAACUAAACUUGUGAUUAUGCCUAAUUUUAUCACAUUCUCCUUCGUUGGUAUUUAUGAUUUAGAAAAUUUUACAAAUAUAUUAUUUUUUAAGAAAUUAUAAGAAGAUUACAAAAAUUCCAAAAAUAUAUAAAAAAAGCUAAGAAAAACCUAGAAAUAAAAAAAAAAUCAUGUUUUUACAAAUUGGGAAAUACCUAAAUUUGUUUUCACCAAUUAAGAAAUUAAAAAAAUUGUUGAGAAAUAUCUUUUUCGAAAUAUCAUAAUUGCAUUUAAGACCUCAUGAUUAUCUUUUAUAAUUUCAGGCUUAUCAACUAUUUUGAAAACAACAAAACGUCUUACACCAAAACACAAAAAAAAAACGUCGACAUAUCACUUUAGCAUUGACUUACUUUUCUACUGUUAGUCUUCUCCAACAAGUUAAAUACUUCAAUUUUAACAACAUUGACAGGUCUUUGGGGUAGGGUCGAGCAAAACUCAAUAGAAACAGAUGAUAUAGGUUGAGUUGGCUCGGUCAAGCCCAUGUCCCUAGCUAUACGCCCCUCGUAAAAUCAAUUUUAAAAUUAAUUAUAAUAGUUUAAGCGAAUUGAUUAUUGAGUAAUGAAAUACUUAAUUCAACCAAUUGAUGUAAUCAAAUUAUAAUAAAUAUAUAUUUACUUUUAUGGUAUCCUUCAUCUCCUUUUUAGAGUUUGUGGGAAUAUUUUUUUUAAGCUUCGAAUUUAUUUUCUUAUUUAUGAGUACAAUGUGUCUUACAAUUACAUCUGCAGUUUAUAUUUUUUAUUUGAAAACAAAUAUUAUAAUAUAUGAAAACCCCAUAUAUAUAUAUAUAUAUAACCAAAUUUUGUCACACCCAUUUUAUGUUAAAAAUAUUUUCUUUUAAAUCGAGUAUAGGUUGGGUGGUAAAGUACUUAUAUUUUAAUACUAGUAAAUACAUGUUCAAUCUUUAGAUUUAUAAUUUAUAAUUCUUUUAACUGAAGAUGAUAUACAAGUAUGAAAAGACAAAAGUGACAUAGUAAUAAUAUUAAUUAUAAAUUUUAUAAUUUCAUGAUUGAGUUGAUGACGUAGUUGAAGGUAGCACUAACUCUAAAACACUUAAAUAUAGUAAUAGCUUAAAAAUGAGGGGCUUCUGGUAAAUACAUUACUGAGUUGGUAACCUGAUUGAGAGUAACACCAACUCAAUAAAACUCUUAAAUAUUGACUGCAAAUCCUAUCACACACUCAUGUGUAUGAAAACCACAAAUUUAGAAUGCAAAAAUGUGUUUAAAAAUAACAUACAAUAAAGAAUGAAAUUUAUGAUUUGAAACUAAUUAAUAAUAACACAUGAAAUAUGUACGAUAUCAAAAUGAAAAAAUAAAAGAUUAAAUUGUGCAUAAAACAAAAUUUUAUCCUAUUACAUCAAUAAAGUUAUAUUUAUUACCCUCGCCAAUUGUUUGUCAUUAAGAACAUUAAAGUAUCCUUGAAUGAUAUAACUUAUUCUAAUUAGAGUUGAUUGGUUGGCUUGGAUACCAACUCAGUCAGGGGCUUAAAAUUAUUAAAAUAUUAAUAUUUUAAAGAGAAAUUAAUAUUAUUAUAUGUGUAUUUUCACCUUUUCAUACUUUUAUAUAAUCUUCAAGUAAAACGAUUGAAAAAUAUUAUUUGAGAAUCAAACAAAAGACUAAAAAAUUCAUAUAGAAAAUGCUUGCAACUCCACUAAUAAUCAUUUGCCGAUGUAUUUUUGGUAAAAGACCUCUCCAAUCCCUCUUAAUUUCACAAUUGCACAAAUUACUCCCUCUCAAAAAAUUGGAGCAAUUUAAUCCCUAUCAAUUUUGAAAGUGAGUAAAUAAGGACAAUUAAUUAUGGUAUUAAAUUCUUCCAUCAAUCGUAGAUAAUUUUGAUUGGUAUAGUUAUAAAUUUAGCCUUCAAUGUUUAUAUAUUUUGUCAUUUUUGCCUUAAUUUUUAAAAAAUAUUCAAGAAAUUCAACCUCAACAUUUACAUAUUUACACAAACAUUGCAGGAAAUUUUUGUUAAACUAAGACCAAAUUGCAAAGUGUGCAAAUUUUGAAGGCUAAAUUUAUUAAUAUACCAACAAAAACCAUGUACAUUUUAUGGAAAAUUAACGUCCUGAUUAAUUAUUCUUAGUUGCUCACUUUCAAAAUUAAUAGGGACUAAAUUGCUCUGAAUUUUUUUAGGGUGACCAAUUUCCUCAAUUUGGAAAUUGAGAGAGACUAUUGAGAUCUUUCACAUAUUUUUUUUAUAAAUAUAUUUUUUAAUAUAAAAUAUACUUGUUCACCCACAUCAUGUGUAUGGUAAAAUAUUUUUAUUGUUGAUUGAGUUGGUGUCAAAAAUUAACUUGACACCAACUCAAGAUUAAUAAUAACAAUAUGAUAAAUAAUUUCUUUAUUUAAUAUUCUUAAUUUAACAUAUUGAUGUAAAUUUUAAGACAUGUAUGUCUUGUAGAAUUGUGCUUAUACUUUUUGAGUAUUGAGUCAGUUUUCCACAUUUGUGGGUCUCUAUUUGAGCAACACAAUUUCAACAUUUCUUCAUCUCGCUUAAUCCAAAUGCAUUUAGGAUUUUUUUAUAUCAUUGUUUCAAAAACGAUAAAAAAAUACGUCGACAUUGAAUUUGCUAUUUCACAUUCAAUUUCUGGAGAAGUAGAAUUUUCUAACUUAUUUUCCAUCAACUUCACUUCAAUUUUCAAUCACAAUCAAUUGCUUUCAAGAGCACCACAUCUUUUUGGAUGAAACAAACCUCUCAAUAUUAAGAUAAACGGGUCUUUAGGGCUAUUAAUUGAGGGCCUUUUCCACAAUUGCCAUCGUUAUUUGCGGGUGAUUCGGGGAUAAUAACAUCAACAUUUCUGUAUCACAUUUAAUUCAAUUCCACAUUGAACUUUUAAUUUUUAAAUAGAUGAUUGGGUUACAACAAUGGUUUGAAGUGAAGAUAUUUCAAAAGAAGGCAAAUAUAUCACUUUUUUGAGGGGUCUUUGGAGUUAUAUGUGACUUUAGCAUUGACUGACUUUUUUACAAUUAAUCUUUUAUAAUAAGGUAAAUAUAUCAAUUUUAAUAACAUCGACAUGUUUUUUAGUAGGGUCGAGCAAAAUCCAAUUAAAACCUUUCAUCACUGCAAAAAUGAAAUAAUAGAAAUGAAAGACUAGCCAUUGUAUGAGAUCUAUAAUUGAACUGUCAACGAAAUUGGGAGAAAUUUUAAAAUUUUAUGAAAUUUUAAAAUUAAACUGUCAAUAAUAUAAAAUUGCCUGAGUGACUUGGGAUAAGAGGUUGAACAUUGCUGGAUCACAUUACAUUUAAGAUGGGUCUUUAAGGUUAUACUUUAGUUAUUGAGAACAUUUUCCACAAUUUGCCAUCGUUAUUUGUGGGGUAUGUGGUUGAACACUUCUGGAACACAUUGCAUUUAGGACGGGUAUCAUUCAUAGACUGACUUUUCUAUAAUUAGUCCUUGCUUUACUUUAGGUGGAUUCUUCCAACUAGUCCAAGAAUUAUUGUACAGUUACAAUUAAUCUUUUUAAAUGAGACAAACAUUUCAAAUUUGUCGUUACUAUUUGUGAGUGAUUUUGGGGUAAGAAGUUUAACACUUCUGGAUGUCUUAUAGAAUUGUGAUUAUACUUUUUGAGUAUUGACUCAGUUUUCCACAAUUGUGGGUAUCUACUUGAGCAAAACAAUUUCAACAUUUCUUCAUCUCGUUUGAUCCAAAUGCAUUUAUGCAUUUCUUAUAUCAUUGAAUUUGCUGUUUCACAUUCAAAUUUUGGACAAGUAGAAUUUUCUAACCUAUUUUCCGUCAACUUCACUUGAAUUUUCAAUCACAAUCAAUUGCAUUCAAGAGCACCACAUCCUUUUGGAUAAAACAAAACUUUCAAUUUUAAGGUAAACGGGUCUUUAGGGUUAUACGAGGGCCUUUCCACAAUUGCCAUCAUUAUUUGCGGGUGAUUUGGGGAUAAUAACUUGAACAUUUCUGGAUCACAUUUAAUUCAAUUUUUAAAUUUUAGAGAGAUGUUUGGGUUACAACAAUUUCCAUCAUUAUGUUUAAUAUAACAUUUGGGAGGAAAAGGAGCAAAAAAAAUGAGUGAAAAUCAGAAAAUGGGGGCAAAGUAUAGGACCCACAUGAGCUGACCUAUUCCACUUGACUAUGGGACGACAUCAAUUUCGUAGAUUUGCACUUUGACCUGCUAAAAAAUACGAAUUUUAGGCUUUUCUGGCAUUCUAAGAUAUAUAUAUAUGACAAAAAUAAGAAGAUAUAAGAGAACCUUCCUAGAAUAUUCAAGAAAACAACUCCAAAGACACUACUAAAGCCGACUCUGAACCAGAUUUUCAUUAAGAUGGAAGAUUCCUAAUUGAUUUCUUAAGAGAUUAUCAUGAGUUUCUUUAUUCCUUUCAGUUAUACUACCCUUUGGAUGUUUUUAUUUUUAAUCAUGAACUAAUUUUCUAAAUACCUAAGAGAGAUGAACCCUAUGAUAGAUUGUGACACCCCAAAGCCGACCGAGACAGACCGACCCGAAUUCGAAACAUUACAUUAGCCACCUAAGUGACUUUCUAGCUAACAACCAGCCAAGACACACCCUAACCUUAUUGUACAAGCCUAAUUUUGACCAAGACUAAACCAAAUAAAUUAACAGUCCAUAAGAGUCCAAAUUACAACUAUCCUGAUACGACCCAAAUUAAAAACAACAACCCAAGCCCAAACCUAACCCUAGUAGCCCAAAGCCCACAAGCUAAAAAAUCUUAGCAGAAAAAACAAAGUUGCUAACCCUAGGCGCUGCGCCUGGGUCCUCUACCAUUGACCGUAUGCCUCUAUCAUCGCGUCUCACAGCCUCUGCCACGCCUCUGCUACCUGCAAGAAACCAACAAAGCACAAAACGACAACAGCAAUAGGGGCCAAAUCAAAAAAUAAUAAAAAAAUAGAUCAUGAAUCGCUUAGAUCGGCUAUAAAGGCCAAAAUAUUAACCUUGUAAUGCUUCUUCUUUUUUUUGACGAACAUUAGAAAAAUAAAAAAUAGAAAACAAGUAUCAAAGGUAGAUUUUUUUCAUUUUCAAAUUCACAUUUCUUUUCCCUGUGUAUUUUCUUUUCUUCUAUUUUUUUUACAUACAACUAGUAAGAACAAAGAAAGAGAAAGAAAAACCUCACCUAGAAUAGCCCCUCAAGUCCGGUCGUCGGAGGCCCUUUUCCCGUUGUCGGAAUUAGACCUAAAAGGGGGGCUAGGGGUGCCCUCUCCUGGUUUUUUAGGCCAAAGAAGGUUGGAUCUUUGAGCGCACUGGAAAUCGGGGUUGAAACGCCUCUUUUGCGCAACGUCGGCCAUCGGUCACGGUGGCGCUACGGCGGCACUUACGGCCGAAACCCUAGGCCGAGCGGGGUGGGGGUUUGAGAGAGGGAGAGAGCUCAAAAGCUCUCUGAAUUUUUUUAAAAAAAAUGGGAUGAAACUGAUUUUCUUUGGGUUUUUUAUUUUAUUUUAUCCUAAGUAUGAAACGCCUCCGUUUUGGACUUAAGUAGCCAUGGCCAAAACGACGCCGUUUUACAUCGUUUCCCCCAUACCCGCGCGCGCGACCCGACCCGCCAGGGGAUCCGCACGUUUUGACUCUAAGGGGAUAUUUGCGCAAUCUGCCCCUACGCUUUUUCGACGUAUUCAAUUCUGGUUUAUUAUUAUUUUUAUUUUAGCCAUGUAUUUUUGCUUCCGAUUCAAGUUGGUCCUUAGACCAUGUGUUGUUCCACGGUUAAAACGCCGCGCUUUAGGACUGGGGAAUAUUUCCCUGAAAGUCCCUCGCUCUUUGAGCGCGUUUCAUUUUGGUCCCGAGCCACCCCUUUUAUUUAUUUGCAAUUUAGACCGCGAGUUCUAAUCCGAUUUCAAUUUAAUCCUUAUUCCAUAUAAUUAUUUUAUUUUCUUUUUCUUUAAAAAUUAAUUUUUUUUAUUUUUAAAAAGGAGCUCUUCUAUUAUUAUUAUUUAUUUUAAGUUAUACAUAUAUUAUUUAUUCUAAAUGUUUUGCCUAAUAUUUACUUAAUUUUUUUAUUCUAUUAUUUGUUUAACAACUAUAUGUAUAUAUUGUCUCUUAGAAUUUAUAUAUAUAUAUAUAUUUAUAUAUAUAUAUUAUUUUAAUAAAAAUAAAGAAUACUGUUUUUAAUUAUUUUAAACUAUCUUAGUAUUUUUUUUUUCAUUUUAAAGCUUUAUAUUGCUUGUUUGAGACAUUUUGCCAUACAUUUCGAGUUAAUCUCAUAAGUUAUUCGUCUUAUACUAUUACCUACGUAAAAUUGUUCUUUAUUAUUUCGUUUCGUUUGCUUGGACUAUUAAUAUUGAUAUGUUAAAAUGUUGCACAUGGUGUGAUUAUUAUCAUUACGUACGUUGUAAUUAGUUUAUUUGUUUUCGCAUUAUUGCCAUUAUGUGUAUUAUUUCGUUUACUCGUAUUUCCAUGCUAUGGCAAUUCAUUCGUAUAUCAUGUUGUUCAAAAAUUAUUUCACCAUAUUAUAAAUUGUCACCCCAUCGACGCAACCUUUUUGUUCACGCAUUAUUUCAAACAUUACAUUUUUUACCCAAACAUGCAAAAAUGAAAAUUUCAAAUAAGGCAAUAUUUUGUGUAUUGGCGAUUCGAGAAAUUGUAUCCUAACUUAUGGGGUUUUGGCCUUUCUCGUUAAAACUAAUAGCAAAAUACCCUUUUUAAAAUAUCAAAAAAUGACGAAAGGAAUCUAAAUAAGGCAAUAUUUCGUGUUUAGAAAUUCAAGAAAACGUACCCUAAUGUGCUGGGUUUCGAUUCUUUCGUUUGACCAAAUAGCCAAAUAUUCUCUUAAAAUUUCAAAGUAUGGGUUUUGGAACCAUAAGGUGAUCUUGGGUUCGAGGGUUUAAAGUAUUGUAUCCUAACGUGCUGGAUGUGAUUUUUUUCUAAACAAGAGAAUCCUAAAUUCCAACCCAUGUUAUUCGAGUUUUUUUUUAUGAUAGUAUUUUUAAAAACUCUUCAAAGUUUUCAAUCUUCGACAUUAAGACACUAAUUAAUCAACUAGGUACCAAUUUUUUGGCGUUUCGAGGGUGCUAAUCCUUCCUCGUACGUAAUCGACUCCCGAACCUAUUUUUCUGAAUUUCGUAGACCAAAAGCAUUGUUUUAAUAAAUCCAAAUCAUUUAUUAAACACAAUCGUUUUACGAGGUGACCCGAUCACACCUCAUCAAAAAAGAUUGGUGGAGACUCCCGUGUUCGUUUUCGUUUUUCAAAAUUAAAGUCGACCCUCGUUUUACAAAAAAUGGUGUCAACACUUAUAACACCUCAAUCUUAUUUAAUUAUUAUUUAUUUAUUAAUGGCAAAGUAAAUUAUGAGCCAAUUUUGAACUUUUCCUAGGUAAUUUAACCUAAGGGCAUUUAUGUCAUUUUACUAAAAUAAUUUCUGUAAUUUUUAUUAUUCGGCUAUAUAAAGCCAUUGGUGAUACUAUAAAAAAGAAUUACGGAGAUACUAUAAAAAAGGAUUACGGAUUCGAAAGAAAAGAAAAAAAAUCAAAUAGCAUUAUAUUUUUAAGGUGGUUUCCGAUUUCUACUUCUUUUUUCUUUUUCCUUUGAUUUGUUUUUAUUUGCUGAUUAAAAGAUAAAAAAGGGGGAAGUUCUUACUUACAUAUUGCGCCGCCGGAGCCUUCAUCCCUUUUGUUUCAAGUUGGAAUGGGGUGGGCAAUGGUCGAAUCGAAAACAGCACAUAGAGGGUAGAUUUUAAGGUUUCUUUGGUUAGAUUUUUUUUUUAAAAAAUGGAGUGUCUACUAAUAUUUAGGGUUUAUGUUGACUUAUAUAUGGCGUAUGAAACGACGUCAUUUCAUGCCAUUUCAGUGGUUUCAAAACGGCGUCAUAUAGGACCGAGAUCUGUGCGGUGACCUGACCCGAGGGAAGGAUCCGCACGUUUUGUCGCGAUGGUCUAUUUUUACAUUAGGUCCCUUCGUUUUUUAUUAUUAUAAUGCAGUUUUUUUAUAUAUUUUUAAUUUGUACUCCUUGAUUUGUUUUAAUUUCAAUUAGGUCCAUAAUCGAACGACGUCGUUUUGGAGGGCAGGGAUUAAUUUCCCUUUUGGUCUCUCUUUGUUAUUCGCGCGUUCGAUAUGGUCCUUUUCUUUUUAUUUAUUUUAAAUUUGCCCCUAAAUUUCUGUUUUAAUUCCAAAUUAGUAACCUAUUUUGUUAUUUUUGCUAUUAAAUUAAUUACUUUAAUAUUAAUUUAUCAUUAUUACUAUUAUUACUAUCAUUAUUGUUAUUAUUAUUAGUAGUAGUAGUAGUAUUUAUAUAUAUAUAUAUAUAUCUAACUUUUUUUAUAUACAUAAUUUUAUUCUAUUAUAUACUAUUAUUUAGUUUUUUUUAUACUAUUAUCAUAUAUUAUUAUUUAAGUUUGUAAUGUAUUUUUUUUAUAUUAAUCCAAUAUAAUAUAUAUAUUUUCCAUUUUUUAUUUUAUAAUAUAUUUUUUAAAUUCACCUAUAUAUAUUUCUAUGCUUUAAAAGAUUUAUACGAUAAUGUCCUUAUAUAAUACUAUUUUAUAUAUAUGUAUACACAAUUUAUAUUAAAUUAUUUUCAUUAUAUGUACAUAUAUGACAUAUGAUAGAUUUCAUUUUUUUUCACUUAUUUUCAUAAAUAAUUUAUUUCUUUUAAAAAGCCUACUCUAUUAUGUUUUAUUUAUUUCUGCUUUUUACAUGUAUUAUUAUAUAUGUAUACUAUUAUUUAUAUCAAGUUUUUCACUCCAUGUGUAUUACAUAUUCUAAAUUAAUAUAUAUUAUUUUAUAUAUUUUAAUUUUCUUCUUAUAUAAUAUUUGCUUCAAAAUUCAUCUAAAUACUAUUAUUUUAUGUAGUGUUUAUUUUUUACUCUAUCUUGAUUACAUUUCAUACUUAUAUAUAUGUAUAUUGUUCAUUUUUAAACUUUUUGUACGUAUAGUUUAUUGAUUAUAAUUUCUUCUCUCUUUUUUUUAGUGUAUCUUUAAAAAUUGAUUAGUAAUUCACUUAAAUUUUGAAUGUUGAAUGAUUGAGAUUGUUGCCUUGCUUGUUAGUAUUUGUCUAUUGGUUAUUUGUUAUUCAUUAGUGUAUGUUAUUUACAAAUUAUCCUUUACGUUGUACGUUGUCAUUUAUUCGCAUUACAUUCGUUUAAAAGGUUGCAUUUGAUUAAAAUAAUAAAAUUGUUUACCCAUAAAAUUUUCAAGAUACUUGGUAUCCAAGAUUCUUGAGAAGAUUGUGCCCUAACUUACUCGGCUUCAAUUUUCCUCAUUGGAUUGAGGUAACCGGGUAUCUCUUUUUCGAUUAAAACAUAAAAAUUCAAAUCAAAACUUAUCUCGAGGAUUCAAAACGUUGUGUCCUAACUCAUUGGAUAUGACAUUUUGUUAUCUUGAGAUGAGGUUUUUUUUAAUAAAGGCAAACUCACAUGUUGUCGUCGGAACUUCAAAGAAUCGUACCCUAACUUACGGGGUUUUGAUUUCCUUAUUGAAGCAAGAUGACCAAAUUUUUUAGUUUUUGAAAUAAUAAAUUUCAAUAAAGAUUUUUUAAAAGGAGAAUCACUUUUUUAAUCUUUUUUUGACAUUCGACCUUAAGACAUUAAAUAAUCAAUUAGGUACCAAUUUUGGGCGUUACGAGGGUGCUAACCCUUCCUCGUACGCAAUCGACUCUCGAACUCAUUUUUUCUGAAACUCAUAGACCAAAAUCGUUUUCAAGGUGAUUCGAUCACACCUCAAUAAAAGAUCGGUGACAACUCCAAUUUUCAUUUUUAAGUCGACAACUAACUUUUGUUUUCAAAAAGUGGUUUCGACAGCUUGUCAACUCCACUGGGGAUUGAUUUUAAGAGUCGAGCCAUAAAUUGAUUAAUUUUUGUCUUAUGGUCGAAAAAUCAAAUUUUGUUUUUAAAUUCACGAUUCUCCUUUGCAUUUAUUGUUUUCAUCAUGGUAUUGUUGCUUGGUUGGUCUAAGUCUGUUAAUGUAUUUGCAUCGUGCAUUACACGAGUUGGACGAUUUUACCCUUCUAAGUGGGAGUGAGAAACUAUUCCUUUGUGAGGUUUUCACCUCCGCAUAGGAUAGUGGAUCUCUUUCGGGAUACAUCCGUACCUAUGUCUUCGUAAUAUUUUCAUCUCCAUGUAGCCAUAGGGAAAUGUAUUCCCUUAAACCGAACUCAGUUCGCAUGAGCCUAUAAUUGGUGAGGAUCGAGGAAUCUACUGGUUUGGGUACCUUUGCACUAGAAGCCAAACCGUACAUUGUGAACCUUAGGAACUUGCCCUAGGUAGAACUAUGUCAAACCCUAGUAGAUACCCAAAUAGGUGCUUUAUUAUUUCUUGUUUGAAUUGAAUUUUAUUUUUAUACAUGAUACUAACUUGUGUUUUGUUUUGAUUGCAUGGCAUUUUGACUACAUGGCAUUUCAUUAUAAAAGGCGUUGAUUCAUAUUCGGUUACUAGAUAGAAAGCUUAUCAUGGAAAAAGGGUUUCUUGAUAAGGUGAAGGAUAAUGCGGCUGUCCGAACUUGGUCUGAAACAACAUAGCGAGAAACAUUUCAUGGAAAAAGGGUUUCUUGAUAAGGUGGGUUUCUUGAACAUUUCUGGAUCACAUUUAAUUCAAUAUUUAAAUUUUAGAGAGAUGUUUGGGUUACAACAAUUGCAUCAUUAUGUUUAAUAGAACAUUUGAUAGGAAAAGGAGCAAAAAAAUGAGUGAAAACCGAAAAAUGAGGGCAAACUAUAGGACCCACACGGGCUGACCUAUUCCACUUGACUGUGUGACCCACACGGUCGUGUGGCAAACCACGUCAAUUUCAUUGAUUUGCACUUUUAACUGAGAAAAAUACGAAUUUUAGGUUUUUCGGGCAUUCUAAGAUGUAUAUAUGACAAAAUUAAGAAGAUAGGACCUUCCUAGAAUAUUCAAGAAAGCAACUCCAAAGACACCACUAAAGCCGACUCUGAAGCAGAUUUUCAUUAAGAUGGAAGAUUUCUAUUCGAUUUCUUAGGAGAUUAUCAUGAGUUUCUUUAUUUCUUUCAAUUAUAAUGCCCUUUUGAUGUUUUUAUUUUUAAUCAAGAUUAAUGAUAACAAUAUCAUAAAUAAUUUAUUUAUUUAAUAUUCUUAAUCUAACAUAUUGAUGUAAAUUUUAAAUUGACAUUAUUUGAUUCUUUUUAAUAUAUAUUGCUAAGCUUUACAUUAAUAUUUGUUGGUUAUUAUUAUUAUUAUUAUUAUUUAAACAUUAAUCAUGUUUAAAUGCGUUUCAUCCUCCAAUUUAAGAGUUGGAGAGAAUUUUCAAUAGUUAAAUUAUAUCAGUUUUUAUCUAUUUAAAAAUUAUUUAUAAAUAAUAUAAGUAGAAAUUAAAUUUAAAAAAAAUACAUAUUCAUAUUCUAUCGGCUUUUUCAUUAUUAGAGUUUUUCCUCACAGGUAAAAGUAUUUAUGGACAGGAUGGCGUAAUAUUAUGACUUGAAAAGUUUUAAACCCUUCAACACUGCAAAAAUGAAAUAAUAGAAAUGAAAGACUAGCCAUUGUAUGAAAUUUAUAAUUGAACUGUAAACAAAAUUAAACUGUCAAUAAUAGAAAAUUGCCUGAGUGACUUGGGAUAAGAGGUUGAACAUUUAUGGAUCACAUUGCAUUUAAGAGGGGUCUUUGGAGUUAUAUGAUACUUUAACAUAGACAUAGACUUUUCUAUAAUUAGUCACUGCUUUACUAUGGGUGAAUUCUUCCAACUAGCAUGAUAGUUGAUGUUACUCUCCAAGAAUUAUUGUAGCCUCCUCUUCCAACUAGCGUAGAGUUAUCUUUAUUCCUACCCCACGCUGGCAACAAACCACUGCUCAAAUUAAUUUGAAGAUAUCUCUUUUCGAAUCCAUGAGUUUUGUUUUCCUUUUUGUAAAAUAGAUAUCAAGAGAUACCAAAAAUUAUUUUACUAACAAAUUUUAAUUCACUCAAAAAGUAAGUGUUUUAUUUCAAGGGAUCACAAUUAAACAUUAGAUUUCUCAUUUUUUAAUUUUAAUUCAUUUAAGAAAGCUGAUGUAACACAUUAGUGACAUCAUUCCAAACAAAGUUUUAGGUCAAAAUUUUCAUCUAGUCCUUGUAAUUGUUUUUAGGUGAAUUUCAUUAUUAUUCUUUUAUUUUCUUUGGCUUAAAUACACAUUUACCCCUAAUUUUAUCACACUCUCCUUAAUUGGUAUUUAUGGUAUAGAAAAUUUUACAAAUAUAUAUAUAUAUUAAGCAAUUAUAAGAAGAUUACAAAAAUUCCAAAAUAAUAUAAAAAAGCUAAGAAAAACCUUGAAAUUCAAAAAAAAAAUCAUGUUUUUACAAAUUGGGAAGUACCUAAAUUUGUUUUCAUCAAUUAAGAAAUUAAAAAAAUUGUUGAGAAAUAUCUUUUUAGAAAUAUCAUAAUUGCAUUCAAGACCUCAUGAUUAUCUUUUAUAAUUUCAGGCUUAUCAACUAUUUUGAAAACAAAGAAAUGUCAUACACCAGAAAAAUAAACAAAAACAAAAACGUCGACAUAUCACUUUAGCAUUGACUUACGUUUCUACUGUUAGUCUUCUCCAACAAGUUAAAUAUUUCAAUUUUAACAACAUUGACAGGUCUUUGGGGUAGGGUCUAGCAAAACUCAAUAGAAACGGAUGAUACAGUUUGAGUUGGCUCGGUCAAGCCCAUGUCCCUAGCAAUACGGCCCUGGUAAAAUCAAUUUUAAAGUUAAUUAUAAUAGUUUAAGCGAACUGAUUAUUGAGUAAUGAAAUACUUAAUUCAAACAAUUGAUGUAAUCAAAUUAUAAUAAAUAUAUAUUUACUUUUAUGGGUUCCUUCAUCUCCUUUUUAGAGUUUGUGGCAAUAUUUUUUUUAAGCUUCAAAUUUAUAUUUUUUUUAUUUAUAAGUACAAUCUGUCUUACAAUUACAUCUGUAGUUUAUAUUUUUUAUUUGAAAACAUAUAUUAUAAUAUAUAUAUAUAAAACCAAAUUUGGUCACACCCAUUUUAUGUUAAAAAUAUUUUCUUUUAAAUUGAGUAUAGGUUGGGUGGUAAAGUACUUAUAUUUUAAUACUAGUAAAUACGUGUUCAAUCUUUAGAUUUAUAAUUUAUAAUUCUUUUAAUUAAAGAUGAUAUGCAAGUAUGAAAAGACAAAAGUGACACAGUAAUAAUAUUAAUUAUAAAUUUUAUAAUUUCAUAAUUAAGUUGAUGACGUGGUUGAAGGUGGCACUAACUCUAAAACACUUAAAUAUAAUAAUACCUUAAAAAUGAGGGGCAUUUGGUAAAUACAUUUCUGAGUUGGUGACCUGAUUGAGGGUCACACCAACUCAAUAAAACUCUUAAAUAUUGACUACAAAUCCUAUCACACACUUAUGUGUAUGAAAACCACAAAUUUAGAAUGCAAAGAUGUGUUUAAAAAUAACAUUUAAUAAAGAAUAAAAUUUAUGGUUUGAAACUAAUUAAUAAUAACACAUGAAAUAUAUACGAUAUCAAAAUGAAAAAAUAAAAGAUUAAAUUGUCCAUAAAACAAAUUUUUUUCCUAUUACAUCAAUAAAGUUAUAUUUAUUACCCUCGCCAAUUGUUUGUCAUUAAGAACAUUAAAGUAUCAUUGAAUGAUAUAACUUAUUCUAAAUAGAGUUGAUGUAUGCUUGGCUUGGGAUACCAACUCAGUCAGGGGCUUAAGAUUAUUAAAAUAUUCUUAUUUUAAAGGGAAAUUAAUAUUAUUAUAAGUGUAUUUUCACCUUUUCAUACUUUGAUAUAAUCUUCAAGUAAAACGAUUGAAAAAUAUUAUUUGAAAACAUAAGACUAAAAAAAUUCAUAUAGAAAACGCUUACCACUCCACUAAUAAUCAUUUGUCAAUGUAUUUUUGGUACCUCUCCAAUCCCUCUUAAUUUCACAAUUGCGCAAAUUAGUCCCUCUCAAAAAAAUUGGAGCAAUUUAAUCUCUAUCAAUUUUGAAAGUGAGUAACUAAGGAUAAUUAAUUAUGGUGUUAAAUUCUUCCAUCAAUUGUACAUAAUUUUGAUUGGUAUAGUAAUAAAUUUAGCCUUCAAUGUUUAUAUAUUUUUGUCAUUUUGGCCUUAAUUUUUAAAAAAAAUUCAAGAAAUUCAACCUCAACAUUUACAUAUUUACACAAACGUUGCGGGAAAAUUUUGUUAAAGUAAGACCAGCUAAAUUUAUUAUUAUAUCUGUAGGGCCCAAUUUUUGCCCGGCCCGUUAAACAAAUAAAACCCAAAAAUACAAGCCCAAUAACCCUAAACUUUGCCCAACUAGCAACCUCCAUACCCCAAACCCUAGUGGCAGCUUCCAGCAACUCCAGCCGCCGCACGAUGCGGGCCAGAAUCCUCCCUACGCGCGAUUUGCGCCUCCACGGGCGUGCGCACUCCCCAACAGUGCCUAUACCUGCGAGAAAAAACUGGAAAAUGGCAGAAAAUGCAGCAAUAACAGAAAAUAUUUCUUUGAUUUUGUAUUUUUUUUGUUAUUAUUUAUUUUUUAUUUUCGGUUAUAUAUAAACCGAUUUGUAAAGAGAAUGGGGGGAUUUUUUCAGUUUAAAGGAUACAAAAUAGAGAAAAAGAACAGAUCGAACUUGUUUUUUUUAAAGGUUUUUUUUUCGUUUUAUUUUGCAGUGUCUAUUGUUUUUAUUUCCAUUUUUUUAUUUUAUUUUAUUUUCAUUUUAUUUUAUUUAGAAUAACAAAGAAAAAGAAAAAGAAAACUUACCUAAGUUGAGGUCGAAAUCGGUGCCGGAAUUCGGACCGACUGAAUCGCCUGAGAGGCGGUGCGAGGAUGCUAGGGAUGAAACCCUAGCAGAGCAAAGGGAGCCUUUUUUUUAUUUUUUUCUUUUCAAUCUGAUUACAGUGGUUUUGAAAGGAAAAUUUUAUUUUAAAUAACGUUCAAAACGGCGCCGUUUUCCCAGGCUUGACCCGCACGGUGACCUGACCCGAAGGGGAGGAUCCGCGCGUUUGGCUUCAAAAGGGAAAUUGCGCAUUUAGCCCCUGCCUUUUGCAAUGCGCUUCAAUCAAGCCCCUUUUGUUUUUUUUUAAAUUUAGGCCGCAUAUUUCAUUUUUGUUUCAUUUGGGUCCCUCGCUGCGCAACGCAUUGGAAGGACGGGAUAAUUUCCCUUUUGGUCCUCCACUCUUGCGCGCGAAUUCAAUGUGGUCCUGUUUUAUUUUACUUCAAAUUUACCCCUUUUUUUCCUUUUUAGUUCAAUUUAAUCCUUUUAUUUUAAACUGUUGUAUUUUUUUUAUUUAUGUUAUACUAAUUUAUUAUUUUUAUUUUUAUUAUCAUUAUUAUAUCUACCUAUGUACACGCACAUGCGUUUCUUAUCAUAUCUAUGUAUAUACUGUAUAUAUAUUUAAAUGUUUUAUAUGCAUAUGUUAUAUUCAUUAUUAUUAUUAUUUUAUAACAAACAUGCAUUGUUUUUUUAUGAUACAUAUACAUACGCAUGGCUUUUAUAAUAUAUAUAUAUAUGCAUUCUUUUAUACAGUAUACAUAUACCUCUAUAUAUUUUAUACAUUUUUUUUAUUUUCUAACUUUUACAUAUAUAAAUAAACUUUUAUAUUUUAGUUUUUUAUAAAUACGUAUGUACAUAUGUUUUCUUUUACAUUUUCUUUACGACAUACUUAUACAUUUUCUGUAAAUAUAUAUACAUAUGCAUAUUUUGAUAUUUUUAUCUUCACAAUUUUCACGUAUACAUACACAUGUUUUGCAUGCAUAUUCUUAGAAAUUAUUGUAAGCUUGUUGUAUAUAUUUCUUUACCUUCCUUUUUAUAAGUACACUUGUAUUUACGUGUUAAAUGCAUGCUCAUACAUAUUUUCAAGCUUACUUGUAUAUUGUGCUCAUAUAUAUUUUGUAAAUAUGUAUUCAUAUACAUUCUAAAUUAAAGUUUUUGCUUCAUAUUAUACAUUAACUUUCGAUAUACCCUUUUUGAAAAUAUAUUUUGGUUUUAACCGUACGACAAACUUAUUUUCCUGAUUCGAAGGUGUUUUUUUUUUUUGAAUAAAAGUAUUAUUUAAAGUUUGGGAUUUUCGAGGGAAAUUGAGCCCUAACGUAUUGGGUUCUGGUUUUCUUUGUCAAUCUUAAAUGACCGAGAAUAUUCUUUAUUCAAAAUGCAUGAGCAUAAAAAUCAUUUUUGGGAACUUAACUUGUCGUGCCCUAACGUAUUGGGUGUAGCCUGUUACUUUCUUGAAAUGAAGAUUUUCGCAUAAAAUAAAAGUGAUAUUCAAAGUUUGGGGAUUAUGAGGAAUUGUACCCUAACGUAUUGGGACUCGAUUUCUUUACAUGACUUGAACAAUUGAUUAUCCUUUUUCAAAAUUCAUCAUUUGAGUUGAUUUUAAAAUCUUUUUAACCUUCGACACUAAGACAUUAAAUGAUCAAUUUGGUACCGAAUUUGGGCACUACGAGGGUGCUAACCCUUCCUCGUGCGUAACUGACUCCCGGACUCAUUUUCUCAAAAUUCGUAGACCAAAAUAGGGUGAGCCGAUCACACCUUAAUAAAUGAUCGGUGGCGACUCCAGUUUUAUUUUUAAACUCGACAACUAAAUUUUUGUUUUCAAAAAAUGGUUUCGACAAUAUCAACCAAAAUCAUGUACAUUUUAUGGAAAAUUAACAUCCUGUUGCUCGCUUUCAAAAUUAAUAGGGACUAAAUUGCUCUGAUUUUUUUAGGGUGACCAAUUUCCUCAAUUUGGAAAUUGAGAGAGACUAUUGAGAUCUUUUACUUUUUUUUUUAUAAAUAUAUUUUUUUAAUAUAAAAUAUAUUUGUUCACACACAUUGUGAGUAUGAUAAAAUAUUUUUAUUGUUGAUUGAGUUGGUGUCAAAAAUUGACUUGACACGAACUCAAGAUUAAUGAUAACAAUAUCAUAAAUAAUUUAUUUAUUUAAUAUUCUUAAUUUAAGAUAUUGAUGUAAAUUUUAAGACAUGCAUGUCUUGUAGAAUUGUAAUUAUACUUUUUGAGUAUUGAAUCUUUAGAUUUAUAAUUUAUAAUUCUUUUAAUUAAAGAUGAUAUACAAGUAUGAAAAGACAAAAGUGACUUAGUAAUAAUAUUAAUUAUUAAUUUUAUAAUUUCAUAAUUGAGUUGAUGAUGUAGAUGAAGGUGGCACUAACUCUAAAACACUUAAAUAUAGUAAUAGCUUAAAAAUGAGGGGUUUUUGUAAAUAUAUUACUAAGUUAGUAGCCUGAUUGAGGGUAACACAAACUCAAUAAAACUCUUAAAUAUUGACUACAAAUCCUAUCAUACACUUAUGUCUAUGAAAACCACAAAUUUAGAAUAUAAAGAUGUGUUUAAAAAUAACGUACAAUAAAGAAUGAAAUUUAUGGUUUGAAACUAAUUAAUAAUAACACAUGAAAUAUGUAUGAUAUCAAAAUGAAAAAAAAGAAAGAAUAAACUGUGCAUAAAACAAAAUUUUAUCCUAUUACAUCAAUAAAGAUAUAUUUAUUACCCUCGCCAAUAGUUUGCCAUUAAGAACAUUAAAGUAUCCUUGAAUGAUAUAAAUUAUUUUAAAUAAAGUUGAUUGGUUGGGAUACCAAUUCAGUUAGCGACUUAAAAUUAUUAAAAUAUUCUUAUUUUAAAGGGAAAUUAAUAUUAUUAUAAGUGUAUUUUCACAUUUUCAGACUUUUAUAUAAUCUUCAAGUAAAACAAUUGAAAAAUAUUAUUUGAGAAUCAAACACAAGACUAAAAAAUUCAUAUUGAAAACGCUUAUCACUCCACUAAUUCAUAUUGAAAACCUCUCCAAUCCCUAUUAAUUUCACAAUUGCGCAAAUUAGUCCCUCUCAGUUUUGAAAGUAAGUAACUAAGGAUAAUUAAUUAUGGUGUUAAAUUCUUCCAUCAAUUGUACAUAAUUUUGAUUGGUAUAGUUAUAAAUUUAGCCUUCAAUGUUUAUAUAUUUUGUCAUUUUGGCCUUAAUUUAAAAAAAAUUCAAGAAAUUCAACCUCAACAUUUACAUAUUUACACAAACGUUGCGGGAAAAUUUUGUUAAAUUAAGACCAAAUUGCAAAGUGUGUAAAUUUUGAGGGCUAAAUUUAUAAUAUACCAACCAAAAUCAUGUACAUUUUAUGGAAAGACAUGCAUAACCCAAAGAAAUGGGAUGAAACUGAUUUUCUUUGGGUUAUAAAUUUAUAAUAACAGUAAGUUAUUAACCAUACUAUUAUCAUUAAUUUUGAGUUAGUUAUAAAUUACUGUUAUACGCCCAGUAAGUUAGGGCUCAACUUUCUCGAGAAUCUUAGAUGUCAAGUGUUUUGAAAACUUACGGAUAAAAUGAUUUUAGUAUUUUAAUCAAAUGCACUCUUUCAAACAAAUGUAACGCAAUUGGAUAAUAACAUACAACACAAAAAGAUAAUUCGAAAAUAAAAUAUACAUUAAUGAGCAAUGAAUAAUCAAUAAAUAAAUACAAACAAACAUAACAACAAUAAUCUCAAUUGUACAUUAUGCCAAUAUCAAUAUCAACAUUCAAAAGCUAAUAAAAAAAACGAGCCAAUUAAUGCAAAUGUAAACUAAAUGUACAAGUAUUGGAAUAACUAAAAAAACAAAUGGCAUGAAAGAAAUGGAAGUUGUAAAUCAAUAAAGUAUAUGUACAAAAAUAUAAAAUAAAUAAUAUACAAGAAAUUGAAAUAACCAAAAAUUGAGUUAAAAAUAAAUACUAUGUGAGACAAUAAUAUUUAAACAAAUUUUAAAAUAAAUGUUGCAUAUGAGGAAAAUCAAAAUAAGUACUAUACAAAAUAAUAUACAUAUAUUAAUCUAAUAAGUGAUAUGUAUAAAGUGAAAACUCGAUAUAAAUAAUGAUAUAUGUAAUAAUAUGUAAAAGUUGAAAUAUACAAAAUAUAGAAGAGGGUAUUUUAAAGAAUGAAAUUAUAUACAUAUAAGUAGCUUUAAAAAAUAUAUUAAAAGGGGAACUAAAACAAAUCAUAGUUAUAAUAAUAUAAAAAUAAUAAUAUAUUCAUAGAAUAAAAAAUAUAUAGAUUAUAUAUAUAAAUAUAAUAAUAAUAUUGUAUGAGAAUACUAUCAUAUAAUUCUUUAAAAUGUAAAAAUAUAAAAGAAAAUUUUAAAAAUAAAUACAUUAUAAAAUAAGACUAAUAAAAUAAAAUACAUACCAAUUAUAUUAAGCCUAUAUAAAAAAAUAUACAUAAAAAUAAUAUUCGAUAGAUCUAAGUAAUGAUAUGAUAAGUUUAAAAUUAUAGUACAUGAUAAAUUUUACAUUAUGAUGUAUGAUAAAUUUAAAUAAUAUUAAUGAUAAUUUAAAAUAAUAGUAUAUGAUAUAUUAAAAUAAUACUAAUGAUAAAUUUAAAGCAAAGUUAAGCUUAAAUAUUAAAAUAAUACUAGAUUUAAAAAUAAAUAUAUCAAAAAUAAGAAUUAAUUAGAUUUAAAAUUAAACUAAUAAAAAAUAAAUUAGAAUUGAAACAUAAUUAAAAAGAGAGAAAAUAAAAUAAAAUAAUGGGUCAAAGAUUGAAUUGAAACUAAAACAAAAUUAAAGGGGCAACAAACAUAAUUAAAAAUAAAAGAAGGGCUAAAGUGCAGCGCGCGGAUAACAUGAGGGACCGAAAGGGAAAUAUUCCCAAUACCGAAAACGCAGCGCUUUAAUAUGGAUUAAAAUGAAACAAAAAUAAAUGAGGGAUUAUAUUUAAAAAGAAAUAAAAGGACUGGAUUGAAUUGCACUAGAAAUUCGGAAGGACCAAUUUCGAAAAUAACCCAUCUUCACGAAACACGCGGAUCCCCCGGGUCGGCUCAACAAGCGGAUCGACGGCUACUAAACGGCGUUUUUGGUACUAUCAAACCUCCCAAAACGGCGCCGUAUUAUGUUAUUACUUAAACAAGAUUUUUAACAAAAAAAAAGAACAUUUGCAGCAUAAGUUUUUUUGAAAAAAAGGUUGCAGCUCUUCUUCUCUGCUAGGGUUUCAACCCUAGUCCUAGCCGCCGCCAUUUCCGCCGCAUCAAACCCGAGCCCCAUCUAACUCCGAUUUGGACGGAGUAAACGGAGCCCUGACGGCGCUUUUAUGAAGGUACGAAACUGCCUUCUUCCUUCUCCUUUACCUUUUUCGCAUAUAUAUAUAUAAAAAGAAUAGCAAAUCAAAGAGAAAAGAAAUCAUAAAAAAAACUCAGAAUAUCACCUUUUAAAAAAAACUAAUGUAGUUUUUUAUUGCCCAUUUUUUGUAUUCAGUAUCCAACCCCCUACAUUGAAGCAAUCUGCUCUUUUUAUAGCCAGAUCUAAUGAAAUUACAAAGGUUUUUUAUUUUAUUUUAUUGCUAUUCCUCGUUUUCUUUGCCGUUAUUCCCUUAUGCUUCUAGUGUAUUCCUUUCUGUUUGUUGCUGUUGCAGGUACAGCUGGAGUGCACGUGGAAAACCUAAGAAGAUUACAAAAAUUCCAAAAUAAUAUAAAAAAGCUAAGGAAAACCUAGAAAUUCAAAAAAAACAAACGUCGACAUUCAAUUUGCUGUUUCACAUUCAAUUUUUGGAGAAGUAGAAUUAUUUAACUUAUUUUCCAUCAACUUCACUUCAAUUUUCAAUCACAAUCAAUUGCAUUCAAGAGCACCACAUCUUUUUGGAUGAAACAAAGCUCUCAAUUUUAAGAUAAACGGGUCUUUAGGGUUAUUAAUUGAGGGCCUUUUCCAUAAUUGCCAUCGCUAUUUACGGGUGAUUCGGGGAUAAUAACUUCAACAUUUGUGUAUCACAUUUAAUUCGAUUCCACAUUCAAUUUUUAGUUUUUAGAGAGAUGAUUGGAUUACAACAAUGGUUUGAAGUGAAGAUAUUUCAAAUGAAGAUGAAUAAUUUAAAAUUCAGGUUAUGUUUCAUUUUAACUAAGUUAAAUGUUAAGAUUGAGAUUAAACCUUUUAGAGGUUGCUCACAAAAGGAUAAGCCUUUAUAAAAGUGCUUAAAUGAAGGCCAAAUUUUUUAAAAUAGGCAAAUAAGGUCCUAACCUUUUAAAAGGUGUUUAAAUAAAGGCUUCUCAAAUGUUGUAUAUCAGGUUAUGUAUUUUACUCUAAACACAUCGACAUUUACCUAUUUUUUUCUAUAAACUGAGUUGAAGUGUGUGAAAAAUCCUUAUUUGAACACUUCUGUAAGGGUUAAACUCUUACUGAACCAUUUUGAAAGGUUUAGUCCUUAUGUAAGCAACCUCUAAAAGAAAUACCUAAAUAUGUUUUCAUGAAUCAAGAAAUUAAAAAAGAAAUGUUGAGAAAUAUUUUAGAGAUUCUUAGCUUUGACAAGUUCCCUCCACCAUCUCCCUGCCUCCAGUCCCACUCUUCUCUUAUGCUCCUCCCAGGUUCUUGCUUUUUGUGUGUUGAAAAUUCAAAUGAACUAAAUAUCAACCUACAUCAUAAGGCACGAAAAUAUCAACCUACAUCAUAAGGCACGAAGGCCAGAAAUUACUUGAGAUCUGACAACUUUAUUUCAUUUUCAUUUUCUGUUAUUUUCUAUGUUUCUUGUCAAAUACAAUGAAAGAAGAACAUAGAAAAAUGUUGCCUAUUUAUUUCCCAAUCAUCAUGAAAUUACUUGCCAUAGACUUAGAAUUUUCUCACCAAUUUUCAAGCAAUCUGACAUGAUUUCUCAAUCACAAUUAAUUGAAUUCAAGAUCUUUUUGGAUGACACAAACAUUUCAAUUUUAACACAAACCAAUAUUUAGGUUAUACUUCAGUGCUUGACAAGCACUGUCACAUUUAUGGGAUAAUAACUCUAACAUUUUAGGAUCACAGUUAUAUUUGACUUUAGCAUUGACAUGCUUUUUUAAUAAUUAAUCUUUUAUAACAAGGUAAAUAUAGCAUCGACAUGUUUUUGGUAGGGUCGAGCAAAACCCAAUUAAAACCGAUGAUAUUGUUAAAAUCAAUUUUAAAAUCAGUUAUAAUGGAUUAAGGUAAUUAAUUAUCGAGUAAUGAAAUGCAUAAUCAAAUCAACUGAUUUUGUUAGAAACUAAAAGAAAAAGGGUUCAGCUGAAAAAUUGAUUGCCCUAUAUUAAAAUUAACGAAUCCGAUUUUUACAUAUUAGAUAAUAUCAACAUCGCAUAUAUAAUAAGAAAAAUUACGUACAAUUAUUUAUUAUCAUAAAUGGUUAGUUUAAAUUUAAAGUAAUUUAAUAUGUUUAUUGAACAUCAACGUAUAAGCUAAAUAUGUGAAAAUAUUCUAGAAACCAUUUCUAAUUGAUGAUAGGCUAAUUCAGAAUUAAGAUUAAUAUAUAAAAACUAAAUAGUAGGGUUAUAAUCCUCAAAUUACACCUAAUUUAAUUUUUCCGACAUUCUAUUUUGGAAUAAUAGAAUCGCCUUCUUUAAAAAGAAUAUGUAUUUGUAAUAGGCCAAUUUUGGCCUGACUAAAAAUCAAAUAAAAUUAACAACCCAAUUGACCCAAUGCAACACCCAAUAACCAAGUUAGCCCAAAAUUAAAAAAACAAAAAACCCUAGAACCUUCAACCGCUGCUCUCCCACAUGCGCGCCUCCAGCCCCUUCCAUGUCACCCCACGAACGGCUUCUUCGGUAUGACGGUUUUACCUGCAAAAUAGGACCAUAAACAGCAAGAAAGAAGCACACUAUAGGCACGAUAGAAUAACAGAAAAGAAAUUGAAUAACGAGGGGGCAGAGAAAAAAAAGAUUUUUUUGAUUUGUUUAUUUUUUUUUCUUUUGGGUCGAUUCGGCGAUAUAUAAGGCCGAUCCCGAAUCUGUAAGGGGGAAUCUUGUGUUGAAAAGUAUUGAAGAAAACAGAAAACAGAGAAUAAAAAAAACAAUUUUGAAGGUAUUGAGUGGGUUUCGUUUUUCCUUUCUCUUUACCGUUUUGGUUCCUUUUUUAUUUUCUUCCUAAUUUCUUAAAACAAAUAAACGAAGUAACGAGGGAAAAAGAGAAGUUUCUUACCAGCAGAGGCGCGCCGUCGGCAUUCUUGCUGGUUUUCGGCGUGAGGAGCAAAGGAGAAGAUGAAGCAGCCCUUGCGGCUGCUGUUGCUGAAAAUGAAAUGGGGUUUUGAUUAGGGUCUGAAAUGGGUUUUAUCGGCAGCAAAUGAAAUGGGGUUUUAUUUAUGGGUUAUUUAUGUUUUUAAUCUUUUUUAUUUUUCUAUCAUUUCAAAACCAUUGUUCUUAAAUUUUUAUUUUUUUUCUUUCCUUUAAUGAAAUAUUUUACCUUUUCAUUUUACUCUAGUGCUGUGCAGAAUUUUGAAAGUGGGAUUAUUUUCCCUUUUGACCCUUCAUGCUUAUGAGCAAUUUACAAAUUAGCCCUUCUGUUUUUUUUACACUACUAUUAUUAUUAUUAUUAUUAUUAUUAUUAUUAUUAUUAUUAUUAUUAUUAUUAUUAUAGCCAUAUAUUUAUACGCAUAUACACUAUAUCAUAUAAAUGCAUAUAUAUUUUAUGAUACGUAUUCAUUUUCUAUAUAUUAUAUAUAUACAUACGUAUUUUUACACAUAUAUAUACAUGUUUUUGUAGUUUAUUUAUAUAUUGUACUUAUACAUUUUUAUAUAUUUUGUAAAUAUAUAUAUAUAUGUACAUAUCUUAAAGUACACAUACUUUUAUAUACUCCUAAAUAUCAUAAUUCUUGUAACCGUAUUUAUAAAUAUACUUCCUUACAUAUAUUUUUAUUUCAUAAUUUUAAAAUAUAUAUACAUACAUAUAUUCCUUAUAUUUUAUGUACAUACACAUACAUAUGUAUAUUAAAUUUUUCAUAUAUUUCAUGGUUUUGUUGUUUCACAACAUGUCUAUCUUCUUAUACCCAUUUAAUUACGAAAGUUUUAAUUCAACUCGUUUUUUUACUGUUUUUUUUUUUACAUUAGUUGACUCGUUUUUAUUUUAUGUUGCUUUAUUUUAUUUUAUUUUAUUUUAUCUUCUAUUGGUUUGUGCUCAUGCUUUUCUCUUUAGCAUUUUAAAAUAUGUUUGUAUUUGUUUUUUAAAAAAAUGUUUCAUUUUUUAUUGAAGCAUGAAAAUUAUUUUAUUUCUUAAAUUUUUAAAAUAUUUGGCAUUCACGUUUUUCGAGAAAGAUCGUGUCCUAACUUACUGGGCUUCAAUUCUUUCGAUGGAUUUAGAGAGCCAAGUAUUUAUUUUGCAAUAAAAUCACACAAAUAUCAAAUAAAAGCUUAUUCUCAGGAAUCCAAAAAUGUCGGGUCCUAACUUACUGGUCAUGACAUUUUAUUAUCUCGAAAUAAGAUUUUCUAAGACAAAAGGUCAUAUUCGGUAUUUGGAAUUUUGAGAAAUUGUGUCCUAACUUACUGGGUUUUGAUUUUCUUAAUUUGACCUAAAUAACCGAAUAUUCUUAGAUUUAACUGUAUGAGUUUUAAAAUCAAUAGACAAACUUAAUUUUGAAGAUUUAAAAAUAUGGUGCCCUAACUCACUGGGUGUGAUGUUUUAUUUCUCUGAAAUAAGAAUGUUUUAUUAUUUUAAUCCAUUCACGAGUUAAAAGUUUUCUCUUAAAAUCUUUUCAAAUUUUCGACACCAAGACAUUAAACAAUCAAUUCGGUAAUUUGGGCAUUACGAAGGUGCUAACCCUUCCUUGUGCGUAACUGACUCCCGAACCUGUUUCCUAAAAUUUCGUAGACCAAAUUUAUUUUUUUUAGGCGAGCUGAUCACACCUCAGUAAAGGACCGGUGGCGACUCCAAUUUUCGUUUUAAAAGUCGAUAACUAAUUUUAUUUUUCAAAAAAUGGUUUCGACAACUUGGCGACUCCACUGGGGACAUGUUAGAGAGUCGAGCCAUGAAUUGAUUAUUUUUGUCUUUUUUGUCGAAAAUCAAAAUGUUGUUUUAAAUCGUGAUUCCCCUUUGUAUUCAUUAGUUUUCAUCAUGAUAUGCUUGCUUAAUUGGUCUAAGUCUGUUAGUUUAUUUGCAUUAUGCAUUUCAUGGUCAAUUUUACCCCUCUAAGUGGGAGUGAGAAACUAGUCCUUCGUGAGGUUUUCACCUCCGUGCAGGAUAGUGGAUUGCUUUCGGGAUACAUCCGUACUUAUGUCUUUGUGAGAUUUUUAUCUUCGUGUAGCCAUAGGAAAAUGUAUCCCCCUGAACCGAACUCGAUCUAUAUGAGCCUAUAAUGGGUGAAGAUUGAUGAAUCUGCUGGUUCGGGUACCCUUGCUCUAGAAGCCAAACUUCAUAUAGUGAACCUUAGGAACUCACCCUAGGUAGAAUUACUUUGAACCUUAGUAGAUACCCGACUAGGAGUUUUUAUUAUUUUUUAAUUGUAUUGGAUUUGAUGUUUAUACCUGAUACUAACUUGUUGUGUUUUGUUUUGAAUGCAUGACAUUUUGAAUGCAUGGCAUUUCAUUAUAGAAAAAAGGUGUUGGUUCACGUUCAGUUGCUAAAUAGAGAGCUUGUUAUGGAAAACGAAUUUCUUGAUAAAGUGGAAAACAAUACGGCUACAUGAAUAUAUUCCGAGAAACACAAGAAAGGUGAUGGAGGAAUACAUGUUACUUUGUGGCUCGAGGAUUCAAGCUGAUUAUUUAAGAGUUUUUGACAUUCUAACUUCCUUAAAGAAGAUGAGGAGUAUUACGGGGAUGGGCAGACGAUGGAUCAUAACCAGGAUCAAGCAAAAGAAGAUAGAGGAGGCACCCUUUUGAAGAAUUCGCAAGGUUUAUCUUAGCAUUCGGAUGAAGAAAGAGAAGAUGUCCCUGCUUGGAGUAUGAGGGCAAAGCCGUAUAUAUACCGCUUUAUGUAAAGAAAUUUGUCUUUUAGUAAAGUUUUCUAAAUGCAAUUGAAUCAGAAUCAACGUCUCUUUAUGCAUUCAUUUCAUGCAUUUGCAUUACAUGACAUCAUAUGCAUUAAAAUCUAUUAAAAGGGCUUAAUUGAGUAAAAUUAUUUCAGUUAAUUUAGAAAACCGACACCCUUAUGGCACCCAAGCAAAGACUAGAGAAAUGGACCAAAGGUUGGAAAAAUUAGAGCGAAUGCAAAUAUAGAUGCAGGAGCAACUAACCAAAUUUCAACAGGAAAUGAGAGAUAUGAUGAUAAGAUUACAGAGAGCUAUGACGAAUCAGUUAACUCGGUUGCUAGCUGGAGAGUUAGAAAAAGGGAAAGACUCGAUGGUUUAUUGUGGGGUUGAUAAUGAGGAUCUUGCCUAUUCCCUAGGUAGUACUCCAAUAAGUGUCCAGGUCUAGCCAGAUGGGCGUCCGCAUGGGGCACUCUUUACUAUCAAAUCCUAAUAGUAUCAAACUGGUACAUCGACACCAGUGAGUUGCUUGACAGGCUCAGGAUCCAAUCUAAGGAACAAUUUAGCUAAUCCUGUUGCUCUUGAAAAUCCAGCCGAAAUAAAGCAGGCAAGGGUAGAGUACUCAGAUACUAUAAGAGCCCUAAGGAAGAAGGGGAAUAAUGGGGAUAAUGAAGGCAGAUAUAACAAGGGCCACUCAAAACCAAUCACUAUGGGCUGGACAAAGAUAGAAAUCACCAGCCAUCAGAGCCCUUUAAAGCGAGAAUCUUACACGAAGACAAAUAUAGAAAGGCUUCAGUUCACGCCUAUACCGAUGUCAUAUAGUGAGCUAUAUCAAAUCUUAUUUAAUGCACAUGUGGUGUCCCCCUUCUACUUGAAACCCAUGCAGCCCCCAUUUCCUAAAGGAUACGAUGCAAACAUCCAGUGCGAAUAUCAUGCAGGAAUCACGGGGCAUUCGAUAAAAAACUGCACCGCAUUCAAGAAGCUAGUUGAAAGGUUCAUCAAUAGGGGUAUUGUAAAGUUUGAUGACUCAUCUAAUCUGCUAUCCAAUCACAUUGAUAGUGGGGUAAGAGUGAGAGCAAGAAAGGGAUUAGCUAUUUCUGAAUUAAGAGGAAAUCAUAGAAAGACAAUGAACUAUCGUGAGUUCCAUCACGAGGAGGGAUACGAGACCCAAGAGAGUGUGGAACUCAAGGCCUUGGUUCCGGGCAUGAUAGAUGACAAAGAGAUGGAGUUUUCUAAGGAAAUUAAAGAAGUGAGAAAUAUACACACAAUGUUGGGAAGUGUUCACAUCAAUGCCAUAUAUGAAGACACACUUGAAAAUGGACCUUGUUAGAUAUCUACUCUUAUAAACUUAGGAGUGUUCUAAAUAAUCAGAUUGUAGAAGAAAUUUUUGUAGCAUCUAGAGUUUACUUAGAGUAAUGUUCAGAAAACACUUGUUACUUUUAGCCUAGAGGCAAUAAGAAUUCUUUUAUGAAAUAGGCUCAUGUUUGAACGUCGUUAUUCUAAUAAAAUACAUCUUUGCAUUUAUUUUUGAGCCAAUAUCCUUUCAUUCUUUUUGAAUAAUUUUUCUUUCAUUCUUUUGGAUUUUCUUCCAAAUCAUUCAUUCAUUCAUUCAUAAUCACUGUACAAAUAACUAUUCAUACUUCAUACAUUCUUUGUAUAUUCUUUUAUACUUAUAAUAGGUCCCUAGAUAUCAAUGUCAUGAGUGACACUGCUACAAUUUAGAAUCUCCUUUUGAGCAAGACAUGUGUUUAGAGGGAUCUCAUAACUUUGAAGAUGACAUAGACCGUGGCCUAUCUCCGGACUUGUUGAGGAUGGUAAAGCAGGAAAAGAAACAAAUUUACCUCAUGAGGAGACAAUGGAGAUUGCGACCUUGAGGGAACAUGCAUAACCAAAGAAAUAAAUGAGGACCUUAUUGAGUUACCUCAAGAGUUCAAAGAUAUCUUCACAUGGUCAUACCAGGAUAUGCCCGAGUUAAGCAUUGAUAUUGUAAUCUGAGCAACAGCAUGACGUCAAAAUUUGCAGUAUGUUUAAGAUUAACAUCAUGAACGAUGCAGUUAGAAUUCUUUACCAGGGCAAUGUCUUAUUUUUUAGCUCAUCAUAGUUUUGCCCGUUGAAGUUAAGUUUCCAUUUCUCUGUAUUUUUUGGAUUUCAUCCUAAUUGAAGAGGAAGAUCAAAAGUUUUUUCGUCAUAGUUAAAUUUCGCCCUAAAAGGCUCUAUGAGAGCAACCUGAUACCAAUGAAGAUCUUUCGCAUACAAAAUAAAAGUAGAAGAUUUUAUGUGAAAGACCUUAUCUAGAAUAACAUUGAUUCUGAUCGAAAGGGAUGACUAGGACUUGUCUAAUCUUAUGAGUGCAGUUCUUUCAAAAAAAUAAAAAAAAUAAAAAAAUAAAUAAAAAGAAAGGAAAGGAAAAAAGAAUAAAAAACAAAAACAAAAGAAACAAAAUCUCUAUCAGGGCAAUACUUUUCUCUUUAGCUUAUCGCGAUUUUUCCAUUGAAGUUGAAAUUCUUUCUCACCGGGUAUAGGCUGUGCUGAAGUAGAAUGGAGAUCCAAUCUCGAUGAUCAGUCGAACCUGAUAAAAAGAAAAGGGCUAAAAGCUGUUCAUCACGGUCAGAUGUACUAGAAACGGACGAUGCGAGCCAUUAACAAAAAGGUUCGUCCUAGAAAAUUUUGCGAGGGGGACCUAGUGUUGAAAAGAUUCUUCCUCUACAGAAGGAUUUUAGAGAAAAAUGACUGCCAAAUUGGGAAGGUCCUUAUGUUGUAAAGAAGACCUUUUCUAGAGGAGCACUGAUCUUGAGUGAGAUGGAUAGUACAAAACUUAUCGAAUCCUGCAAACUUAGAUUCAGUCAAGAAAUACUUCACUUAAAGAAGGAGAAAUGACCAAGGUGAAAACCCACAAAGGGCACUUUGAGUCUUAAAAAAAUGAAAAAAUGAAAAUGAAAUGGAGAGGUUAAGGUGAAAACCCGCAAAGGGUGCCUUAGACCAAAGGGGAUUUGAGUUGAAAACCCAAAAAGGGCAGCUCAAAUUUUGAUCAGAAUAAGCCAUGAGGUGAUCAGGGUUACUCGAGUGUUGAUCAAAGUGGGGCAUGCGGUGAUCUUGCUUUGCCUGAAUCAGCAGAAAAGGGUAUGCGACAUCUUGGAGCAUCGGAAAAGUAUUGUAGAUCUCCUAAGUACAUGUCAAACUUGGAAUGGUCUUCAGAAAGUUUGUACAGAGAGUUCAAGCUAUGAUAUCUGAGGCACCUAGCCUUCAUACUAUUUAUAUUGAAUUGUUUAUUCUUGGAAUACUUCAUUCUUUUUCAAGAGACAAGUCAAUUCCUCUUUUACUCGCAAUAUUAUUGAUAAUUUAUUCAUUUCAAGCUAUGCUCUCAAAUCAAUUCUAUUUUUUUCAUUGUUUUGUUCUUUUUUGCAAGUAUGUUGCAUUAGAAUAAUGAUUAAUGGACUAAUAAAACUUUCACAAGGGAAGUUUUACAUAUUACUCUAGCAGUCUAAAUAAUACAAGAUUUUAAAAAAAGGACUAUUGUUUAGAACGCACUAAGUUUAACGGUUGAAAUAUCUAGGAAGGAAUAGUCUAAAUUGAGACUAUCCCUUCAUAUUUUGUUGUCAAAGCAUUGAUUAAACAAAAUGACAAGAUGUCGUGUCGGUGAUAAGGCUUCAAUGAACAAGCAAGCAAUGAUCACCAAGCAAUAGGAUGAGGUUUCCUCGGAGAAGAAAGCCUUUAUUUGUGCAUGGGCAUUUGGUAUGACACCCUGGGAAUGGUGGAAAGGACCAAAGAGCUUCACAUUCUGUAUCCCUGAACUAUGAUAGGAGAGGAUUGAGAAAGGACCAGAUUUUUUUACCCUUGGGUUACAGCGGGAGAAUGAUGGUACAAAUGUUGCAUCCCAGUGGAUUGAAUUUUGAAGUUCACAGUGGGAAGCAAUUUGAUUAAGUGUUUUUUAGAGAUGCCAGCCGAGCAAGAAGGUGUUUUAGCACGUUAGUGAUAAAGCCUUAAUAAACUUCGAGUAAUGACAACCUAAGCGGGAUCAUUCUCAAAAGAAUAAUAUUCUAUAUUCAUGCAAAUGUCAUUCAUACACGUUUAGUUAGGAGCAUUUGAUUCAUUCUGAUCAUGACAUCCUAAUCACUAGGCAUAAUUAGGUUCAUAAUUGAAUUAUACAGGUCAUGCUCCCCAGAGAAUAAACCGAAGAUACCAGCCUUGUCUCCCUGGGCAGUAGUGGAGUAGGUUGAAAAUAGCAGAUAUUGUCUUCCUGUAUUGGCAGCGAAGUAGAUCGAAGAUACCAGCCUUGUCUCCUUGGGCAGUAGUGGAGUAGGCUGAAAAUAGAGAUCUUGUUUUCCUGUAUUGGCAGCGAAGUAGAUCGAAUAUCCCAACCUUGUCUCCCUGGGCAGUAGUGGAGUAGGUUGAAAAUAGCAUAUCUUGUCUUCCUGUAUUGGCAUCGAAGUAGAUCGAAGACUUCAGCCUUGUCUCUAUGGGCAGUAGUGGAGUAGGUUGAAAAUAGCAGAUCUUGUCUUCCUAUAUUAGCAUCGAAGUAGAUCGAAGACUUCAGCCUUGUCUCUAUGGGCAGUAGUGGAGUAGGUUGAAAAUAGCAGAUCUUGUCUUCUUGUAUUAGCAGUGAAGUAGAUUGAAGACCUCAGCCUUGUCUCCCUGAGCAGUAGUGGAGUAGGUUGAAAAUAGUAGAUAUUGUCUUCCUGUAUUAGCAGCGAAGUAGAUCGAAGACCUCAGCCUUGUCUCCCUGAGCAGCAAUGGAGUAGGUUGAAAAUAGCAGAUCUUGGCUUCCUGUAUUGGCAGCGAAGUAGAUCAAAGACCUCAGCCUUGUCUCCCUAAGCAGUAGUGGAGUAGGUUAAAAAUAGCAUAUCUUGUCUUCCUGUAUUGGCAGUGAAGUAGAUCGAAGAUACCAGCCUUAUCUCCCUAAGAAGCAUUGGAGUAGGUUGAAGACGGCAAAUCUUGUCUUCCUGUACUGGCAGAGAAGUAGAUCGAAGGUACCGGCCUUAUCUCCUUGAGAAGCAGUGGAGUAGGUUGAAGAUAGCAGAUUUUGUCUUCCUGUACUGGCAGAGAAGUAGAUCGAAGACGCCAGCCUUAUCUCCCUGAGAAGCAGUAGAGUAGGUUGAAGAUAGCAGAUCUUAUCUUCUUGCACUGGCAGUGAAGCAGAUCGAAGACACCGACUUUGCCUCCCUGGGUUUACAGCAGAGUAGGUUGAAAAUAGCAGAUCUUGCCUUCCUGUACUGGCAGCGAAGCAGAUCGAAGACACCAGUCUUAUCGCCUUGACGUUGCAAUGGAAUAGAUUGAAGCCACGACAACCAACAUUACUUCUCUAGCGUUGCAGCGGAGCAGAUUGAAGCCACGACGGCGAAUCUUAUCUCCCUGGCGUUAAGACUUGGAUUUGUUGAAGUGGAGUGGAUUAAACCUGUGGGCAGCGAAUCCUAUUUCUUUGGCAUUACAGUGGAAUAGAUUGAAGCCACAACGGUGGAUCUUAUUUCUCUGGUGGUGUAAUGGAAUAGGUUGAAGUCGAGACGGCGAAUCUUGUUUCCCCAACAUUGUAGUUAAACAAAUUGAAGUAAAUAAUCCUAUCUCAUUGAAGUUACAGUGGAGUGGAUUAACAUUAGAUCUUAUCUCUCUGAAGUUGUAGAAGAGCAGAUCGCAUCAAAUCUUAUCUCCCUGAAGUUGCAGUGGAACAGAUUGAAGAAAUCAAUCCUAUCUGCCUGAAGUUACAGUGGAGUGGAUUAAAAUCAGGUCUUAUCUCUCUGAAGUUACAGAAGAGCAGAUCGCAUCCAGUCUUAUCCCCCUAAAGUUGCAGUGGAGCAGACAGAAGAAAGUAAUCUUAUUUCCCUGAGGUUGCAGUGGAGUGGAUUAAAAUCACAGAUCUCACCUCUCUAGAGUUGCCGUAGAGUGGAUCGCAUCAGACUUAUCUCUAAAGUUGUAGUAAAACAAGUUGAAGCUAUGAGUCUUAUCUCUCUGAAGUUGUAGUGGAGCAGACUAGAGAUAGCAAAAUUUUCUCUUUUGAGAAACUACAAGGUACAAGUCCUAUCUCCUUGAUGUUGCAGUGGAGUGGAUUAAAGCACCGAUUCCUAUACCUCUGAAGACGCAGUAGGUUGGAAUGAAGCUACUUGAAGAGCACCAAAGUCCAGCACGACUAGGCAAAAUUGGUCAUUUCUAAAGUCUUUGCUCUGUUCUCGUUACACGAUAACGAGCAAAGAGGGGCAGCUGUAAUAGGCCAAUUUUGGCCUGGCUAAAAAUCAAAUAAAAUUAACAACCCAAUUGACCCAAUGCAACACCCAAUAACCAAGUUAGCCCAAAAUUAAAAAAACAAAAAACCCUAGAACCUUCAACAGCUGCUCUCCCACAUGUGUGCCUCCAGCCCCUUCCAUGUCACCCCACGAACGGCUUCUUCAGUAUGACGAUUUUACCUGCAAAAUAAGACCAUAAACAGCAAGAAAAAAGCACACUAUAGGCAUGAUAGAAUAACAUAAAAGAAAUUGAAUAACGAGGGGGCAGAGAAAAAAAGAUUUUUUUAUUUGUUUAUUUUUUUCUUUUGGGUCGAUUCGACGAUAUAUAAGGCCGAUUCCGAAUCUGUAAGGGGGAAUCUUGUGUUGAAAAGUAUUGAAGAAAACAAAAAACUGAGAAUAAAAAAAACAAUUUUGAAGGUAUUGAGUGGGUUCCAUUUUUCCUUUCUCUUUACCGUUUUGGUUCCUUUUUUAUUUUCUUCCUUCUUUUUUAAAACAAAUAAACAAAGUAACGAGGGAAAAAGAGAAGUUUCUUACUAGCAGAGGCGCGCCGUCGGCAUUCUAGCUGGUUUUCGGUGUAAGGAGCAAAGGAGAAGAUGAAGCAACCCUUGUGGCUGCUGUUGCUGAAAAUGAAAUGGGGUUUUGAUUAGGGUCUGAAAUGGGUUUUAUUUGCUGCAAAUGAAAUGGGGUUUUAUUUAUGGGUUAUUUAUGUUUUUAAUCCUUUUUAUUUUUCUAUCAUUUUAAAACCAUUGCUCUUAAAUUUUUAUUUUUUUUCUUUCCUUUAAUGAAAUAUUGAAACCGUUUCUACUCUAGUGCUGUGCACAAUUUUGAAAGUGGGAUUAUUUUCCCUUUUGACCCUUCAUGCUUAUGAGCAUUUUACAAAUUAGUCCUUCUGUUUUUUUUACACUACUAUUAUUAUUAUUUUUAUUAUUUUAAAUUAUUAUUAUUAUUAUUAUUAUUAUUAUUAUGGUAUUAUUAUAGCCAUAUAUUAUACGUAUAUAUUUAUACACUAUAUCAUAUAAAUGCAUAUAUAUUUUAUGAUACGUAUUCAUUUUCUAUAUAUUAUAUAUAUACCUACAUAUUUUUACACAUAUAUACAUGUUUUCGUAGUUUAUUUAUAUAUUAUACUUAUACAUUUUUAUAUAUUUUGUAAAUAUAUAUAUGUACAUAUCUUAAAGUACACAUACUUUUAUAUACUUCUAAAUAUCAUAAUUUUUGUAACCGUAUUUAUAAAUAUACUUCCUUACAUAUAUUUUUGUUUCAUAAUUUUAAAAUAUAUAUACAUACAUAUAUUCCUAAUAUUUUAUGUACAUACACAUACAUAUGUAUAUUAAAUUUUUCAUAUAUUUCAUGGUUUUGUUGUUUCACAAAAUGUCUAUCUUCUUAUACCCAUUUAAUUACAAAAGUUUUAAUUCAACUCGUUUUUUUACUGUAUUUUUUUUACAUUAGUUGACUCGUUUUUAUUUUAUGUUGCUUUAUUUUAUUUUAUUUUAUCUUCUAUUGGUUUGUGCUCAUGCUAUUCUCUUUAGCAUUUUAAAAUAUGUUUGUAUUUGUUUUUUAAAAAAAUGUUUCAUUUUUUAUUGAAGCAUGAAAAUUAUUUUAUUUCUUAAAAUUUUAAAAUAUUUGGUAUUCAUGUUUUUCGAGAAGGAUCGUGUCCUAACUUACUGGGCUUCGAUUCUUUCGAUGGAUUUAGAGAGCCAAGUAUUUAUUUUGCAAAAAAAUCACAAAAAUUUCAAAUAAAAGCUUAUUCUCGGGAAUCCAAAAAUGUCGGGUCCUAACUUACUGGUCAUGACAUUUUAUUAUCUCGAAAUAAGAUUUUCUAAAACAAAAGGUCAUAUUCGGUAUUUGGAAUUUUGAGAAAUUGUGUCCUAACUUACUGGGUUUUGAUUUUCUUCAUUUGACCUAAAUAACUGAAUAUUCUUAGAUUUAUCUGUGUGAGUUUUAAAAUCAAUAGACAAACUUAAUUUUGAAGAUUUAAAAAUAUGGUGCCUAACUCACUGGGUGCGAUGUUUUAUUUCUCUGAAAUAAGAAUGUUUUAUUAUUUUAAUUCAUUCACGAGUUAAAAGUUUUCUCUUAAAAUCUUUUCAAAAUUUCGACACCAAGACAUUAAACAAUCAAUUCGGUACCGAUUUUGGGCGUUACGAGGGUGCUAACCCUUCCUCGCGUGUAACUGACUCCCGAACCUGUUUUUUAAAAUUUCGUAGACCAAAUUUUUUUUUUAGGUGAGCCGAUCACACCUCAGUAAAGGACCGGUGGCGACUCCAAUUUUCGUUUUUAAAGUUGAUAACUAAUUUUUGUUUUUAAAAAAUGGUUUCGACAGUAUUAAUUUAAAAAUUUAAUACUAUCAAUAAAUUUAGAUGCAUUAUUAAGUACCAACUAAACAAUACUUAAAUAUAGAUGUGUUUUAUAGAAAAAAGUUAUCAACUUAAAGAAGUUGCAACAAAAAUUUAAAAAAUUCAUUUAUCAAACGAAUAUUUAAAACAUAUAAUCUAAACUGUGACAUAAUAAAACACAUGAGCAUAACUUGGAUUUACCAAAAAUCUAUGUAUUUUUCUAAAUUUUAAAUUUUAGUCCCUAUAUUUUAAUUUAGAGACAUUGAGUCACUAUACUUUUUUAUUUAAAAAUCUUGGUCCCUUCAUCAAUUUUAUAAUUAUAAUGGUUGAUUUAGUUGUUGUAAAAAAAGGUAGAAUAACUUUUUUAGCCUUAAACAUUUGCAGUUUUUGUUAAUUUGGUCCUUACUCUUUAAAAUUACAUAAAAAUUGAAAAAAUAUUUUAAAAAUUAAUUUAUUUCGUAUUUUUAAAAACAUUUAUAGUUUUUUUUUGUGGUUUGGUAACUUAUCAACUCGACUCUUAAUUGUAACCAACUCUUUUGACCUUUUUCGUACCCUUAACCUAAGCCCCGUUACAACUUUCUAAAGACCUCUUGACUGGUGUAUCAUCUCGAUUUGUUUUUAUAGUGGUGGAAAUUUGGUUUUCAAGCAAGCCUAUAAUAAUCACAUUUUUCGUUCGACUGUUGACCACACAGUACUUGAACCUUAAACACUUUGAGUGUUUUGAGUGAAUCUUAGUUAGGGUAUUGAUUAUUGUUGAGUUUGAAUUUCAGUUAAUUCUUGAGAUAGAGGAGACACCUGUGUUUUUUGUGCUUUACAAAUUUCUGCUUAGAUUGCUUUUAUUCUUUAGUCUCAUUCUAGUUUCAAUUUCUAGUGCAUGAUUAUCUGUAGAUUAUUCCUAAGGCAUUGUCAGUGAAAAUAAUAAAUUGAGGGAGAUUAACUUGAAUAAGGGUUGAGAAUUUUGCUUAAGGACAAAUGAAUGCUUAAAUGUAGGGAUAUUUGAUAAGUGCUAAAAUUAAUAUGUUUUAACAUCAUUCUUAAUGUGGUUUUGGUUGAUUAUUCGAUGUUAAUUUUGAAAUUUAUGCUCCUAGUCCUUUCAAUUCGUGUUUUUAUGUUAAUAGAACAUUUGGGAGGAAAAUGAGCAAAAAUCAGAAAAUGGGGACAAACUAUAGGACCCACACGAGCUGACCUAUUCCACAUGUGGCAGGCCGUGUCGAUUUCGUAGAUUUGCACUCUGAACUGCGAAAAAUGUGAAUUUUAAGUUCUUCGAGCAUUUUAAGACAUAUAUAUGAAAAAAAAUAAGAAGAUAGGAGAGAACCUUCCUAGAAUAUUUAAGAAAACAACUCCAAAGACACCAUUGAAGCCCACUCUGAAGUAAAUUUUCAUCAAGAUUAACGAUUUCCAGUUGAUUUCUUAUGAGAUUAUCAUGAGUUUCUUUAUUUCUUUCGGUUAUAUUGCCCUUUAGAUGUUUUAUUUUUAAGCAUGAACUAAUUUUCUAAAUACCUAAGAGAGAUGAACCCUAUGAUAGAUUGUGACUCCCCAAAUCUGACCGGGAUAGACCGGCCCAAAUUCGAAAUAUUACAUUAGCCACCUAAGUGACUCUCCAGCUAAUGACCACCCAAGACACACCCCGACCUUAUAAAACCUCAAUAUUAUCUAAUUAUUAGUUAUUUAUUAAUGCAAAAGUAAAUUAUGUGUCAAUUUUAAACUUUUCCUAGGUAAUUUAACCUAAGGGCAAUUUCAUCAUUUUACCACCUAAAACUAACCUGAUUUUAGAUCUAAGUGUUUACCAACCUUCUUUUAGUCAAAUCACGCAAGCCUAAAAUUUUCAACUUAAUUUGAUUUCGUUUACUAUGUCUAAUUCAAGUUUUAUUAUUAGGGACUAAAUUGUAACUUAAACAAAUUAGAAUACCAAUUUAAAGAGACAAAAUUUCAAAAUUCCAAAACCCACACGGGUAUGUGGGUAAGUGACAUGGGCGUCUGGAGACUAGAGCAAUCACACACGAGCAUGUGGGAUUGAAAAAAAUGAAAUAAAUUAUUCCACUCAAUUUUCCGACAACCAUGCUAUACUACCAAACCAAAUAAUGCUUCAAGCUUUGAAUAUGGUCGAAUCUAAAAUUUCUUUUAGAGGAAUCAGAAUUAAAUUAUAAAAUUUUGAGAAGUUAAAAUAUAAUUUUAUCAUGUAUUAAUUUAUUAUUUUUUAAAGGGACUUAAUAGAAUUUUUUUUCCCCAUUUUGGUUGGGCCAAUACCCCUGCCUACCUCUUUAAAUUUGCUCCAACCCUAAACCUAAUAUUCGAGUUCGAUUAACAACAAUAUAUAGUUUAGUAUUUGUGGAAGUUUGACGAAGAAAAUUUUUUUUAGAGGUUUAAAUUAUAAAUUUUUGAAACAUUAAAAUAAAUUUGUAUUUUUAAUUACCUUUGGGAUCAUACGGGUGAUUUUGAUGAUGUUAAUGGUUAUUUGGUGGAGAAGGUGAAAAAGAAACAAAUGAUUCAUUAUAUAUAAUAUAAUUAUGAAAUUCAAGCCAUAUAUUGUAUGUUUCAUACAUAAAAAUUUCAUGGGACGUCCAAAGGUAAUUAAAUGACUUGUAGGCUUGCUGAAUUUCUUUGAAAGGCCCAAAGGCUAUUUAACAUUCACAAAAUAAUCUCUAAAUACUGUAAAGACAAAUCAAAUUCACAAUUGCAUUAGAGUCGAUUAAGCUAAGCAUUGGCAAAUAUUACUUUGAUUUUGCAUGCAAUAUUGGCAAAACCCCCUCUUACAUUUGAAAAACAACAUAAUCCAUGAAACAUUGAUAGCCCAAUACAAAUUUCAUCGGGAAAAAGGUCUCUUUGUUUUGUAGAACAUGUUAGUAAAGAUGUGGAGUUUCGUUCUUCUUAUUGGCCUCCUUUAGCUUUCCUUGUUCAACAACCACUAGCCAAAAACACAGUUAGAUUAGAUUAUGAAUGAUACUUUUAACUAUGACAAUAUUAAAUACAAAACACUCUAAAUAACUCUAAAUAAAUGGAAAGCAGCAAAUUACUUGACGAGGCAAGCUAGCUCAAUUAAGACCAUUGUGUUAUUCUUGUCUCUGAAUUGAAAAAUUUAGAAGGAAAUAAAGAGAAAGACUUAGAAAAUACUUGAAAACAGAUAAAACUUAUAUGUCAUUUAAAAUAAAAAAAUUUCUAUUUAAGCCGUUUAAAAUUUUUAAGAUUUUUAAAAUUUUAAAAUGAUAAAGGUAAAAUUAUACUUUGGCAUCCCAAAAAUGAUAAAACUUUGAUUUAAUCCUUUAGAAAUUAUAAAAAUAUAGGCUAUUAAAAUGAUAAAAUUACAUUUUUACUAUAGUAAAAAUUACAAUUUAAUUUCACCCCUAAAAGGAUUUUCUGGGUUCGCCCCUAACAAAGAUUAAAAUAAAAUUAUACCGUAAAUGGAAAAAGAAACUAAGAAAAUCCAAUCUAACAAAGAAAAUAACUUGAUGUCCAAAAGCUACCAUAAACCGUAAUUCAUGGGAAGGCUUGUUGCUUAUUUUAUUGGUUUCCAUUUUGAUUUGCAAAAGAAGUUUGAAUUUUGAAGAGAGCCUACUACGUGAGAGCAAAAGCAAAAAAAAUAGUUUAUAUGAUUAAAAUUCCAGAAUAGAUUAAAAAUGUUGAAUUAAAGAUAAAAUUAAGUGUGAAUUAAUAACCACAAGUUUACUCAUUACUCACCAUCUCUGUUAAAAAUGUUGGAUGCUGUUUAGCAACCUUUGUUUGAUUUUCUUCAGCUCAACCACAACAUCUUUCAUAUCUUUUCUUUCUUCUGGCAACUCAGCUGAACAAUUCAAAGCCAACUCCAUGAUAGAUGAAAUACAAUUUGCUUUAACAGCAAUGUACUCAUCCUCUCUUCUUAAUAAAUCAACAUCUGCAAUUUCUAUGGCUCCUUUAGGCAAUGAACUUUCCAUCCAAUGCCUCAUAGUCUCUUCUUCAACAAAAACAUUAUCAGUGGGCUUUUUCUUUGUGAAAGUUUCUAUAAGGACGAUCCCAUAACUAUAGACGUCAGAUUUUAUAGAAACAAGUCCUGCUGAUCCAAAUUCUGCAUUUCAAGUAUAAUUAGAACAUCAUCAAUCCUCAAUUAUUUCUAAGAUGCUUAUUCAAAUAUAUAUCCACAUACACAAGAAACAAAAAUAUAAAAUGCAAAUUAGGAAAAUAAUCGUACAAAAAUAAAAAAGAAUUCACCUGGUGCCAUAUACCCGAUAGUUGCAAGAGUCAUGGUUUGCUUCAUUACUUCACCUUCUCCCAACAAUUUGGCAACGCCAAAAUCUCCAACAUGUGCAACCAUGUCUUCAUCUAGUAAAAUAUUGCUUGGUUUUAUGUCACAAUGAAUUAUAGGUGUUGGAUGUCCAUUGUGGAGGUGUUCUAUAGCUACCGCAACAUCUAUCAUUAUGUCGACCCUUUGUAUGAUAUCAAGGAAACAAUUUUCAGAAUGUAACCAUUUCUCAAGGUUUCCAUUAGACAUGUAAUCAAGCACCAAGGCUUUGAAGUCAACACUUGAGCAGCAAGUAAUGACCUUCACAAUAUUACGAUGAACUAUAUUAAGCAUAGCAUCACAUUCAAUGUCAAAACUCCUAAAUGCUCCCUCUGUUUGCAAAUUGAAAACUUUUAUUGCAACUUCCAUUCCAUCUGAAAGCCUCCCUUUAUAUACAUAUCUAAAACUCCCUGAACCAAGCAUAUUGCUUUCCCCAAAUCCAUUAGUUGCUCGGGAAAGCUCAGCAUGUGAAAUUCUUCUCCGUGUUUUCAAAGACAACAAAUCAUCUUUAAUUGGUAGAGUUGUACUCCUUUGGCAUCUUGUAUACAUAAUAGUUAAGACUAUUAGUACUACGACAAUACCAAUUGUUGGUAAACCAUACCUAAAAGCAUGCAAUAGAAUCAUUUGGGAGUUUUUGUGGAUGUCGUUUUUGCAAGGUGGG
rnacentral:lncRNA from 1 species